GAGUAUCAGACUCCAAGUGGCCCAAAUCUAUUCAAACCAAUUACAGAUUGUAAAUAACAUCGUAAAUAACUAAUUACAUUGUUAUACUUAAAGCUAAGGCACGAAAAUAGGUGAAAUUACCAAAAUGCCCCUCAAAUAAAUGUCUCAGAAUCAAAUAAUUUUCACAUUUUCUGGAACCUCAUACUCUCACGAGUCUAACCAUAUAAAAAUCUCUCAAAUCGGAGGUCAAAUGCCCCUUUAAAUCAUCAAAUUAGGUCUAAGAACUUUACCCCAAUUUCGUCCAUUUUUUAUCCUUAAUUCGAAUUUAAAAGAUGAAUUUAUCUACUGAAUGAUGUAUUAAAUCUAGAAAGGAUCAUAGAAAAAUUAGCCGAAAAUCUCUUCUUCAAAUCCCUCUCAAAAUCGCCUUGGUCCGAGCUCGAACUUGAUUUUUCAACUUAUGAAAUUAAAUCCUCGGAUAAACCCCUUAGCUCACAGUGAUUUUUCGCUUCUGCAGCUAAAUGACCGCGUCUGCGGUCACCACUUAUGCUACCAAGCAACCGCUUAUGCGGUAUGACUAACAGUGCCAGCGACCGCUUCUGCGGUCCCAGACCAAACCCCCCUCAGAUCGCAUCCGCGACUCCAACACUGCAUCUGUAGAAACCGCAUAUGCGGCUCCCCUUCCGCAGACGCGGAAACAACAGAAGCAGCAGCCACAUCCCAUGCAAAACUCUCCAUUUUCUCAGGUUAACCACCCGAAUUCAUUAUGGGGCCCCCGGGACCCCAACCAAAAGAACCAAUACUUCUUAAAACCUCAUUCGAACUUGCUCGAAUCCUUAAUCCGGUUAAUCACCCGAAUUCACCCUGGGGCUCCCCGGACCCCAACCAAAAGCACCAAUACUUCUUAACACCUCAUUCGAACUUUCUCGAAACCAUAAAACUCCACCAUUAACAUCAAAAUUCUCGUUUUUCAUCAAAUUAAAGGCUAAGUUCCAUCAAAACGUCCAAAACUCGAUUUCGAUCAAACACCUAACCAAAAUACGUCUGAUUGACCUGAAACUUUGCAUGCAUGUCCCAAAUGGCAUGACGGUACUGCAGCAACUUCCGAAAUCCCAUUCCAAUCCUCGAAUCAAAAAUUCACCAUCGAACCGAAAACUUCAAAAUUCUAACUUUCGGCAUUUCUAGCCUAAAUGAGCUACGGACAUCCAAAAUACAUUCCGAACACGCUCCCAACAUUGAAAUCACCUAACGGAGCUAACGGAACCAUCGAAUUUCCAUUCCGAAAUCGUCUUCACACUGUUCCGAUUACGGACCACUUUCCAAUACUUAAGCGACUCUGAAACCACCUAACAGAGCUAAGAGAACCAUCGGAUUUUCAUUGUGAGGUUGUCUUCACACUGUUCUGAUUAAGGACCAUUUUCCAACACUUCAGCUCUCAUUUAGGGACUAAGUGUCCCAAAGCACUUUGAAUUCUAUUACCGAACAUCCCGGCAACCCAAAGUAGCAGAAAUGAACUUAGGGAAAGCAGUUAAUAUGGGAACUGGGCACAAAUUCCAAAGAUGACCGGUCGGGUCUUCACAACCUAUAAUACAAACACGUAAUUAUAAUUAUUAUUAUUAUUACUACUUUUUUUAAGAAAAAAACUUUUUAUUUUAUGUAAAUAUAUAUAUAUAUAUAUAUGUGUGUGUGUGUGUGUGUGUGUACAUAUAUAUAUAUAUAUAUAUAUAUAUAUAUAUAUAUAUAUUGGAUCGGGUUGCACGACGCAAUAAUAUUAUAUCUAGUCUAUUUUUACGACUUAUUUAAAAAUUAGGCAAAAAGAAUUCUUGAAGCCUGUUUGUCGAAUAAUCUGCUGAUAUGAGGCUUCAAACGAUGGUCGUUUCUUUUGAAUUAUUCUCCUCCAUCUGCUUGUUGUACUUCAAUGGCACCAUAGGGGGUCACUCAUGUUACUGUAUAUGGUCCUGUCCAGUGGUAUUUAAACUUUCUUGGAAAUAAUCUCAAUCGGCUAUUGUCCAAUAGAACAUGAUCUCCAACUUUAAAAUCUUUAUUAAGGAUGAGAUUGUCAUGCCAUUUUUUUUAUCUUUUCCUUGUACAAUUUAGCAUCUUCAUAUGUUGUAAGCCUGGACUCUUCCAUCUUAUCCUUGUACAAUUUAGCAUCUUCAUAUGUUGUAAGCCUGGACUCUUCCAACUCAUCAUGCUGCAAUAGAUGAUUUUUACCUGUAUCUGGCAAGUUUAGAUUCAACAAUGUUAUAUCCUAAUAUGCUUUAUGUUCUAAUUCUCCAGGUAAAUGACAAGCUUUUCCAAAAAACUAGUCAAUAAGGAGAUGUGCCUCGAGGAGUUUUGAAAGAAGUUUUGUAUGCCCAUAAAGCAUCGUCUAACUUUAAAGACCAAUCUUUUCGAGAGGAACCAACGGUUUUUUUUAAAAUUCUUUUUAAUUCUCUAUUGGAUACUUCAACUUGCCUGCUUAUUUGAGCAUGAUAUAGAGUUCCUAUUUUAUGAGUUACUCCAUAUUUUAACAGCAAACUAGCAAAUUGUCUAUUUAUAAAAUGAGUUCCUUGAUCACUUUUUAUCACCCGUGGAGUUCAAAAUCUAGAAAAAAUAUUUUUCUUGAGAAAAGCACAAACAAUAUGAGCAUCAUUGUUUCUAGUAUCAAUUGCUUCUACCGAUUUUGAAACGUAGUUAACAGCUACCAAAAUAUAUUCAUAGCCAUUUCAAGGAGGAAAAAGACCCGCAAAAUCUAUGUCCCGUAUAUGAAAGAUUUCACAUACUAAAAUAGAAUUAAGAGGUAUUUCUCCCCUUUUUGAAAUGUUAUCGAUUCUCUGGCAUUUAUCGCAAGUGGCUACAUAAUUCCUUGCAUCUUUGAAUAGAGUAGGCCAGAAAAAACAAACUUCAAGUACUUUGGAUGUUUUCCUUCUCCUCCAUAGUGUCCUCCUGCAGCCCCAUCAUAGCAGUGACUUAAGAUAUUGUUCAUAUCUGUCUCCGGUACACAUCGCCUGAUUAUGUCAUCUGCACAAAAUUUAAACAAGGAUCUUCCAAGUAAUAAUGUCUUGCUUCUUUUUUAAGUUUUUUCUUUUGUUCAUAAGAAAAAUCUUUUGGAAUCUAUCGUCCAGCCAAGUAUUUGGCAAUAUCAACAAACCAAGGUGGUCGAUUUAUAACGUUUGUGACUAAAAGUAUAUGUUCUCCAGCCAAGUAGUUAGCAAUAUCAGCAAACCAAGGUGGUCGAUUUAUAACUGUUGUGACUGAAAAUAUAUGUUCAUCAGGAAAUUCCUCUUUGAUAUCUUUUAUCUCAGUUGGAGGAUUUUUCAAACGAGACAAUGAUCAGCUACCUGAUUCUUAGAACCUCUUUGAUCCAUUAGUUUAAUAUCAAAUUCUUGCAAAAGGAGUAUCCAUCUUAGCAAUCUGGGUCUAGCAUCUUUCUUUGCUAAGAGGUAUUUUAAAACUGCAUGAUCAGUAUAAAUUGUAACCUUUGUUCCAACCAAAUAGGAACAAAAUUUAUCAAUUGCAAAUACUACUGCAAGUAGUUCCUUCUCAGUUGUAGCAUAAUUCUUUUGAGCUUUAUUGAGGGUUCUACCGGCGUAGUAAAUAGGCUUGAAAAUCUUGUCUCUUUUUGUCCCAAUAUCGCUCGAACUGCUAUAUCACUUGCAUCACACAUUAUUUCAAAGGGCUGGCUCCGGUCAGGAGAAACAACAAUUGGAGCAUCAGUCAAUUGUUUCUUGAGAAUCUCAAAUGCUUUCCUGCAAUUAUCUGAAAAUUCAAACUUCACAUCUUUCAUCAGUAGGUUAGGCAGAGGUUUUGAGAUUUUUCAAAAAUCUUUUAUAAGCCUUCUAUAAAAACAUGCAUGCCCUAAGAAACUUCUAAUACCUUUAACAGUGAUAGGAGGAGGUAAUCACUUGAGAUUUUUGAAAAAUCUUUUAUAAAUAUUCAAUAAAAACCUGCAUGCCCUAAGAAACUUCUAAUGCCUUUAACACUGGUAGGAUGAGGUAAUCCUGCUAUAAGAUCAAUUUUAGCCUUAUCAACUUCUAUCCCUUUAGCAGAAAUUUUAUAUCCUAAAACAAUUCCCUAUGUUACCAUGAAAUGAAAUUUUUCCCAAUUAAGAACUAGAUUUAUCUCUUCAAAUCUUUUAAGUACCAGAGUUAAAUGAUAGAGACAAUCUUCAAAUGUCUUACCAAAAAGUGUGACAUCAUAUUAUUUCCAAUUAAGAACUAAAUUUAUCUCUUCACAUCUUUUAAGCACCAAAGUUAAAUGGUAUAGACAAUCUUCAAAUGUCUUACUAAAAAGUUUGAAAUCAUCUAUAAAUAUUUCAAGAAACUUUUCAGUCAUAUCUGAGAAAAUUGCCGACAUACAACGCUUAAAUGUAGCAGGAGCAUUGCAUAGUCCAAAUGACAUUCUUCAGUAAGCAUACGUACCUUGGGUGCAUGUGAAUGUGGUUUUCUCUUGAUCUUCUGGAGCAAUUGGUAUCUAAUUACACCUAGAGUGUCCAUCAAGAAAAUAGUAAAAACCAUGGCCUGCAACUCUUUCAAGCAUUUGAUCAAUAAAGGGCAAAGGAUCUUCAUUUGCAUCACCAGUAAACUGACAUGACUAUUGAAUGGUUUGAAUCAAGCCUGUGCAGAUUUCAAAGUUGUUUUCUACAAUUGAUGGUCUCCUCACACUUGAUUCUCGUCUGUAGUCAAUACAGACUCUCCAUCAUGUGACUGUUCUAGUAGGUAUGAUUUCAUUAUUUUCUUUUUUUAUUAUUUUCAUACCUCUUUUCUUUGGUACUACCUGUACAGGACAUACCCAUGGACUGUCAGAUAUUGGAUAAAUAAUACCUGCUGCUAAAAGUUUCAUCACUUUUUUCUUGUCGACUUCCUGCAUUGUUGGGUUUAGUCUCCUUUGGGGUUGGACUAUUGGCUUAUAAUCAUUCUCCACUAGAAUCAUGUGUAUACAAAUAGCUAGAUUGAUUCCUUAAAUAUCAGCUGUAGUUCCCCCUAAGGUUGUUUUGUGUUUUCUCAGGACUCCAAUCAGGUUUUUUUCCUGUUCUGUAGUCAAAGAAGAUUAAAUGAUUACUGAAAAUAAUUCAGGUUCAAGAAACACAUAUUUUAAAAGAGAAGGAAGUUCUUUGAGUUCAAUUUUUAAUUGAACUCCUUCUUGUGAGACUUUCUCAUUUUCUGACUUUUUCUCUAGAAUUUCAGCUUUUUUUCGAAUUACGAGGUUAUCAUCUCUUAUGGUACCUGACCUAGAUAAACAUCUCUCCAAUGAAUUAAUAAUAAACUGAUUAUCUUUGUAUUCAUCUACAAGGUCAUCUAGUAAGUCAAUUUGAAAACAAGAUGACGAUGACUCAUCCCCGUGAAAUUUUAUCAUUUUUUGCAUGUCAAAAAUCACUCUUUCCUCAUCAACUCGCAAUAUUAAUUGUCUUUAAUGAACAUCAAUAAUUGCUUUCCCUGUUGCGAGAAAUAGUAUACCUAAAAUUAAUGGUACCUCAGUAUUUUCUUCCAUUUCAAGCGCUAUAAAAUCUACUGGAAAUACAAAUUUAUCAACUCUGACAAGAAUAUUUUCAACAAUUCCUUUUGGUCUCUUAGUAAUUUGAUUAGCUAACUGAAGAGACACACCAGUAUCAUUCAUUUCACCAAGUUCUAAUUUACUGAAAAUUGAAAAAGGCAUUAGAUUUAUUGAAGCACCUAAAUCACAUAAUGCCUUUUCAAAGUGAGUAUCUCCCACAGUACAAGAAAUUGUAAAACUUCAUGGAUCACCAUGUUUUUGAGGGAGCUUAUUUUGAAGUAUAGCACUACAUUUCUCUGUAAGCUUAGCCACCGAAACUUCUUCCAAUUUUCUUUUACUUGACAAAAUUCUUUGAGAAAUUUAGCAUAUGAAGGCAUUUGUGUCAAAUCAUCUAUGAAAGGUAUGUUAAUGUAAAGUUGCUUCAAAAUAUCUAGAAACUUUGAAAAUUGUUUGUCAAGCUUUUCUCUUAUCAUUUUUUGGGGAAAGGGGAGGGGUACAGAGUCAGGAUUUGUCAUUAAUUCAUUUUCUUGUACAUUUUUAAUUCAUUUUCUUGUACCUUUUUUCCUUUGUCCUUUUGUUCUUUAAGAAGUUCAGAGUCUCUUUUAUUCUCACCUUCAUUUACAUGUUCCACUUCCUGUGGUUUUCCUUGUCUAUCUGCAUAUGGAUCAUCAAGAUAUUAGCUGACCGCAGAGAGAUGGUCUUGAGGUGUUCCUUUGGAUUUUUCUCGGUGUUUCUUGGUAGAGCACCUUUUAUUUGUUCAGACAUGAGGGUUGCUAAUUGGCUCAUCUGAAUUUCUAAGUUCUUGAUGGCUGAACUUUGAAUUUUAACCUUCUCAUUACAAGCCUUAAUGAAUUUGUACAUCAUGUCUUCAAGGCUUUGUUGAUGAGCUCUUAGAGGUUGCUGCUGAUGUUGUUGAAAAUUGUGUUACCCUCUAUUUUGGUUUUAAAAACCAGGCGGUCCUUAUACCUACUGCUUCUAAUUAAAAAAAUUUGAGGAUUUUCAGCACCAUUAGGAUUACUCCACUGAAAUCCUGGAUAAUUUGUUCCAUGGGACAACCAAAUGAGUAAUUAUUUCUAUAACCAAUCACAUUUACAUGAUCCUCAUUUUGCGUUAAAGCUUGAAAUUCAUGAUUCGGGUGAUUACCUUUACAAAUAUCACAAUUCUCAAGUUGGGAUGAUGAUUGAGCAAUUACCUAAAAUGUCUCAACUUUUUGUGUUAGAGUUGCAAUUUGUUGAGCUAAUGAAUUCCAAGCUUCAACCUGAUUGAUUCCUGCUUCUUUCUUAACAAUUAUUCUGUCAGAGGGCCAUCAAACAGCAUUAUCUGAAAUUUCAUUGAGCAAUUACAUGGCUUCUGUAGUAGUCUUGUUCAUUAUGGAUCCUCCUGAUGCUGCAUCAAUAACAUUUCUUGCAGAGGGUUUAAGACCACGAUAAAAAAUAUAUAAAAUAUCAGGAUCUUGGAUACCAUGGUGCGGGCAUUUUCUUAGCAUUGGUUUUAAUCGUUCCCAUGCAUGGUACAAAAUGCAGUAUCUGUUUGCACAAAAUUAUAGAUUUCUUGCUUCAUUUUAAAUGUUUUUGCAGGUGAAAAAUAUUUAUUAAGAAAUUUCUGAGUCAUUUGGUCCUUGUAGUUAUUGAACCUCUCGGCAGACUUCACAACCAUAUUUUGGCUUCACCUAUUAAACAAAAAAAGAAAAAGUCGCAACAUGAUAGCGUCUGCUGUGACUCCAUUAUACCUGGAAGUUUCAACUAAUUCAAAAAAAUCAAUUAAGUGGGUGUGAGGAUCUUCACUUUCAUUACCAGUAAACUAACAAGAUUGUUGAAAGGUUUGAAUCAAGAAAGUGCGGAUUUCAAAGUUGUUUGCUGCAAUUGGUGGUCUCCUCACACUUGAUUCUCCUUCAAAAUGAUCUGGCCUUGAAUAAUCUCUAAGUAUUAUAUCACGUCGUGGAGCUACCUCAUCAAACUGUUAUCAUGACCCAAACCCUGGUAGUGAUGGCGCCCAACACCUUGUUAGGCAAGCCCGACAAUUCAAACAUUUCCCAGCCUCAGUUUGAUAAUAAUAGAAAAUACUGCAUAAAACAUAAUCAAAAGUAACAACAGUCUAACGGAUCCGACGUCACAAGUCUAAGGCUCUAAGUACACUGAACAGUAUCCUAAACACAGAAAAUCUAGAUAUGGAAGCAAAAGAUAUGGAGAGAUCAGGUCUUGCGGUCGCCAGCAGCUACCUUGAUAACUCCGGUACUGAACUGAAAAGCAGUAGCUAAUCGCAGUUAAGCCUCCGGGAUCCCUGUAUCUGCACACAAGGUGUAGGAAGUAGAGUGAGUACUUCCAACUCAGUGAGUAAUAGCAAUAAAUAACAACUAAAUGUAAGAAAUCCAGUAACACUAUACAGUUCUAAUAUCAAUAGUAACGAUAGUUCAUAUUACUAAACAGGGUGAGAAUCUGAUAAAUACUUCUCUUUUUCUGUCCGACCAGUAACUAACACUGCUGCGGCGCACAGCCCGAUCCAAUAUAAUAUAUAUAAUGUUGCGGCGUACAACCCGAUCCAAUAUGAUAUACAUAAUGCUGCAGCGUGCAGCCCGAUCCAAUAUAAUAUAUGUUCAGACAAUCCAAUACUAUAGUACUACGCUCACCGGUGGUGUGUGCAGGCUCCAGAGGGGCUCCUUGAGCCCAAGCGCUAUAAUAUUGCGGCGUGCAGUCCGAUCCAUAUAGUAUAUAAUGAUGCGGCGUGCUGCUCGAUCUGAUAUAUAUAUAUAAAAUGCUGCGGCGCGCAGCCCGAUCCAAUAUAAUAUAUAUAAUGUUGCAGCGUGAAACCCGAUCCAAUAUAUAUAUAAAAUGUUGCGGCACGCAGAUCGAUCAAAUAUAAUAUAUAUAAUGAUGCGGUGUGCAACCCGAUCCAAUACAUGUAUAUGUAUAUACUUCUGUGGCGUGCAGCUCGAUCAAUUAUAUAUCAAAUACCCUCACUACAGGGUCCUUGACCCCUCUCAGUCAAUAUAGACUUGGCCUCUCGUCCCACUAAGCUAAGAUAGGGUAUUCAACCCUAGGUAUUGCUCAUUUAGGGUGCAAGUUACUACGUUCAGUUUAUUUCAUGAUUUACAGUCAAAAUCAGGAUAGAUGGUAAGUGUUCAAUAGGUAUAGUAAGGUCAAUCAUCUCAACAUGAUCCCUAGGAGUUCUACAGAUCGACACAAGGCCCCAAACAAGGACACUAGCCCAAAAAUAUACAGGUACAAACUCAGUCUCAGUCGAAAAGUGUUGUAAGUCAUCAAUCGGAAUGGACCAAGACUGAUUCCCCAGCAGAAACAUCACCACGCUCAUUAUAUGACGCAUGUUUUAUCUCAACAUAGCACUGCAUAGUGCAAAUAUGGGAUUUCAUACCCUCAGUAUAUCAUUCAUAACCAUUACUCACCUCAAACCGGCCAAAAUCCUAGCUCGCCUUGCGCUUUCCUCGCACAUCAACCUCCUCGGGUGCAGAAUCUAACCAAUACCACAAGAAGUAUGUUCUAAUAGGCUAAUGGGACAUAACCCAAUAGAAAUAACUCAAAAAAAUACCCAAAAACAUGAAGUUGGCAAAACCCGAGCCCUGGGCCCACUUCUCGAAAAAUUACAAAAUUCCCAUCACCGAAAUCCUCGUCUCGCCACGAGUACGUACAUACCAAAUUUACAAGAAUCGGAGUCCAUUUGACCCCUCAAAUCAAAACUUUAAGCUCACUUGGGUUUCAAGCCCUAACCACCAUUUUUAACUUUAAAAACCUUGAAUCAUUAGUGUUUAAUCUAUGUUUUGACACUACAAUGACAUACUCUAUGUCCUAGAAUCCGCACCUGAUGAUUUCCCCAAAAUGCUCUUAAAAAUCGCUCCCAAACCCGCCUAAGUCUGAGGUCCAAAUGCUCUUCCCUUUUCAAACUAGUGAAAUCACUGUUCAUUAAACCCAGCACGAUUUUCGCUUUUGUAGUCAUAACUCCGCUUAUGCGGCUCUCGGUUAAGCGGCCUCUCGACCGCUUUUUCGGUCCAACUUCUUCUCCUAGGGACUGUUUUUACGGUCAACUACCGCUUACGCUGUCACCGCCUAUGAGGUUUUCCUUCCGCAUCCGCGAUCCAGGCCACUUCCCAUUGGCAGCAUUUGGGGCUCACCCGCCGCGUCCGCGGAACCGCUUAAGAGGCUACUUUUUCGGCAGACUCGAAAUAGCAAAAGCAGCAUAUCCAAAAAUGCCCAAACUCCUACAACCUCCGUUCAACGAUUCGUAAGUACCCCGAGGUCCUCGGGGCCUAAACCAAAAACACAUAUAUGAUCUAAUACCUUGUUCAAACUUGAUUGAGCCAUAAAAACACUAACAUUAACACGAAAAAUCACCUAAUUCCUCCAAUCCAAGCCUAAGUUCCUUAAGAACUUUCGAAAUGCACAUACCACCAAAAGUCCAACCAAACGACGUCUGUAACCUGAAUAUUUGCGGACAUAUCCAACAUCAACUAACGAAGCUAUUGCAACUCUUGGAAUCUCAUUCCGAUCCCCGGAUCAAAAUCUCACCUAUCAACUAGAAUUCGCAUAAAUUCAAACUUAGCCAAUUCAAGCCUAAUUCUACACCGGACCUUCAAAUUCAUUUCCUAUUUCACCCCUAAGUCAUAAAUCACCACUCGUAACUAGUCAAACCGUCGGAAAUCCAUUCCGAGCCCUAUAUCUCAUAAGUCGACAUUCGGUUGACUUUUCCAAACUAGCCUUCUCUUAAAGAGACUAAUCGUCUCAAUUCCAAUCAAACUCUGUCCGAAUGACUUCAAACUCUGCAAACACAUAUAAUGAAGCAUAUAGAAGCAUAAAAGGGGGAAAACAGGGUGGUACCUCACGUGAUGAUGGGCCGGGUCGUCACAUCCUCCCCAACUAAAACAAACGCUCGUCCUCGAGCGGGUGAAGAAACAUACCUGGACCCUAAAACAAAUGAGGAUAUCUGCUCUGCAUCUCCUGCUCGGUCUCCCAAGUGGCCUCCUCAAUGGGCCGACCUCUCCACUGCACCUUCAUCGAAGCUAUGUCCUUUGAUCUAACCAACCUGACGACCCAAAAUAGCCACUAGCUCCAUAUCAUAGGUCAAGUCCUAAUCUAAUUGGAUCGUGUUGAAGUCUAAUACGUGAGACGGGUCCCAAACAUACUUCCUGAUCAUAGAAACAUGGAACAUCGGGUGAACCCCCGACAAGCUGGGUGCCAAAGCAAGAAUAUAGGCCACCUCCCCAAUCCUCCUGAGUAUCUCAACAGGUCCAAUGAAUCGCGGACUCAGCUUCCCUUUCUUUCCAAACCUCAUCACGCCUUUCAUAGGCGAAACCUUCAACAAAACCUUCUCGCCCACCUUAUAAGAUACAUCCCGAACCUUUCGGUCUGCAUAACUCUUCUGACACGACUGAGUCGUACGAAGUCUCUCCUGGAUAACUUUCGCUUUCUCUAAAGCAUCCUGAAAUAACUCUGUCCCCAAUAGUCUAGCUUCACCAGGCUCAAACCAGCCAACUGGAGAUCUACACCGUAUCCCAUAUAAAGCCUCAUACGGCGCCAUCUGAAUGUUGGACUGAUAACUGUUGUUAUAAGUAAACUCUGCAAGUGGCAAGAACUCAGCCCUAGAACCUCCAAAAUCAAUAACACAAGCAUCCAACAUGUCCUCCGAUAUCUGAAUAGCACGCUCGGAUUGUCCGUCCGUAUGAGGAUGAAAAGUCGUGCUCAUCUAUAUCUGAGUGCCCAACUCCCGAUGGAAAGUCCUCAAGAACUGGGAAGAAAAAUGAGUACCCCUGUCUGAGACAAUAGAAACUGGAAUCCCAUGCAACCGCACAAUCUUUAUGAAAAUCUCUGCUAACCGUUCCGAAGAAUAGGUGGUGCACACCGGAAUGAAGUGCGCGGACUUGGUCAUCCUAUCCACAAUCACCUAAAUAGAAUCAAAGAUCCUCGAGGUGCAAGGGAGACAACUCACAAAGUUCGUAGUAAUCCUCUCUCAUUUCCACUCCAGAAUAUCCAUCUGCUAAAGUACACCACCGGGUGUCUGAAGUUCAUACUAGACCUGCUGACAAUUGAGACGUCUUGCCACAUAACUCACAAUGUCCUUUUUCAUUCUCCUCCACCAAUAUUGUUGCCUCAAGUCCUGAUACAUCUUCGCGGCAUCCGAAUGAAUAGAAUACCACGAACUGUGGGCCUCCUAUAAUAUCAACUCUCAGAGCCCAUCCACAUUGGGCAUAAAAAUCCAGCCCUGCAUUCGCAACACACCAUCACUACCAACGGUCACAUCUCUGGCAUCAUCAUGCUGGAGCAUGUCCUUCAGGACAAGCAAAUGUGGGUCAUCAUAAUGGGGAUCUCUAAUGAAAUGAUACAAAGAAGAUCGGGAAACCAAACAAGCCAACACCCGACUGCGCUCUGAAAUUUCAAACCUUACCAUUCGAUUAGCCAAAGUCUGAACAUCAACUGCAAGGGGCCUCUCCGCAAAAGGAAUAUAUGCCAAACUACCCAUACUGACUGCCUUCCGGCCCAAAGUAUCGGCCACUAAAUUGGCCUUCCCCAUAUGAUAAGAUAUGGUAAUAUCAUAAUCCUUGAGUAACUCAAGCCAUCUCCGCUGUCUCAAAUUGAGGUCCUUCUACUUACACAAGUGCUGAAGACUGCAAUCAUCCGUGAACACCUCACUCGACACGCCAUAUAGAUAGUGCCUUCAAAUCAUCAAAGCAUUAACUAUAGCAGCCAACUCCAAGUCAUGAAAAGGGUAGUUUUUCUCAUGUGGCUUUAGCUGAAGCGAAGCAUAAGCAAUAACUCUACCCUCCUACAUCAAUACACAUCCGAUCCCAACAUUCGAAGCAUCACAAUAUACCGAGUAAGAGCCUGAAGCUGAUGGCAAUACUAGUACCGGAUCUGUAGUCAAAACUAACUUGAGAUUUUGGAAGCUCUCCUCACAAUAAUCCGACCACACAAACGGAGCAUUCUUCUGCGUCAACUUCGUCAAAGGUGAAGCAAUAGAUGAAAAUCCCUGAAUGAACAUACGGUAAUAACCUGCCAAAUCGAGGAAGCUCCUAAUCUCAGUAGCUAAGGACGGUCUGGGCCAACUCUGCACUGCCUCGAUCUUCUUUGGUUCAACCCGAUACCAUCACUAGACACCACGUGUCCUAGAAAAGCCACGGAACUUAGCCAGAACUCACACUUGGAGAACCUUGCAUAAAGCUUCUCCUCUCUCAACCUCUGCAAUACCACCCUCAAGUGUUGCAAUGCUCCUCCUGGCUAUGCGAGUGCACCAGUAUAUCCUCAAUAAAUACGAUCACAAAAGAAUCCAUAUGCGGCCAAAAUACACUGUUCAUCAAGUGCAUAAAUGCGGCUAGGGCAUUAGUCAGCCAAAUUGACAUAACCAGAAACUCAUAAUUCCCAUAUCUCGUCCUGAAAGCUGUCUUCAUGAUAUCAGAAUCUCUAAUCUUCAGCUGGUGAUAACCUGAAUGGAGAUCAAUCUUAGAGAAUACCUUUGCCCCCUGAAGUUGGUCAAACAAAUCCUCAAUACGGGGUAGUGGAUACUUGUUCUUCACUGUCACUUUGUUCAACUGUUUGUAAUUAAUGCACAUUCUCAUCGUGUCAUCUUUCUUCUUUACAAAUAAUACCGGUGCACCCCAUGGGGACACACUCAGGCGAAUGAACCCCCUAUCUAGGAGUUCCUGAAGCCUUACUGUCACUUUGUUCAACUGUCUCUAAUACAUGCACUUUCUCAUUUUGCCAUCCUUCUUCUUUACAAAAGCCACCGGUGCGCCCCACAGCGACACACUCGGGCGAAUGAACCCUUUAUCUAGGAGUUGCUGCAGCUUCUCCUUCAACUCCUUUAACUCUGCUGGUUCCAUACGAUAGGGACGAAUAGAAAUGGGUUGAGUGCCCGGCACCAAAUCAAUACCAAAGUCAAUAUCCAUGUCUGGAGGCAUGCCCGGCAGGAUUGCUGGAAACACAUCAGGAAAUUCCCUCACCACGGGAACCGAAUCAAGACUAGGAGCAUCAGCUCCGACAUCCCUCACAAAUGCUAGAAAUGAUAAACAUCUCUUCCAAACCAUCUGUUGGGCCUAUGACAAAGAGAUUACCCUGUUGGGUACAUAAUCAGUCGUACCACGCCACACGAUCCUCGGAAGGCCCAGCAUAGCCAAUGUGAUUGUCUUGGCAUGACAGUCUAGAAUAGCAUGGCACGGUGAUAGUCAAUCCAUGCCUAGAAUAGCAUCAAAAUCUACCAUGCUCAAUAUCAGCAAAUCAACUCGGGUCUCCAGACCCCCAAUAGUAAGAAGACAGGAUCGAUACAUGUGGUCCACAAUAAUAGUAUCACCCACCGGGGUAGAUACAUGCACAGCUAACGCAAGACACCCUAGGAUAGUCCUAAAAUGAUGAGCAAAAGAAGAAGAUAAUAAGAAUAUGUGGAUCCGGGAUCAAAUAAAACCGAGGCAACCCUGUGGCAGACUAAAAUAAUACGUGUAAUAACAGCAUCCGAAGCAACAGCAUCUUGCCUACCCUGAAGAGCAUAGCAAUGGGCUUGACCACCACUGGAUCGGCCUCCCCCUCUUAGGUGACCCUCAAGUUCCUGAACCUCACCCCUAGCAAUGGGCUUGACCACCACUGGAUCGGCAUGCAUAACUCCUCCCUCUGUGAACGAGGUAUCCACUUCUCUAGAAAGAUAGUAGAGAACUCAUUCCAAGAUAAUAGUGCUGCACCUGCCAUCCUGCGCCGCUCAUAUGCCUCCCACCAGGUAAAGACUGCUCCUGAGAACUGAAAAGUGGUAAAAGAUACCCCACUAGUCUCUAAGAUUCCUGUUGUCCGAAGCAUGCAUCGACACAUAUCGAGAAACCCCUGGGCAUCCUUGCCCGUAACACCGCUGAAUGUAGGAGGUGCAAGCCUGCUGAACCUCUCAAGACGAAGGUGCUCGUCAUCUGGCAUCACUGGCACCCCAUCACCCUGAGCUUGAACGUCAGGAUGAGCAGGGGAAACUGGAUGAACUGGUGCUGCCUCUGGGGAUGGCAAACCCUGAACACCCUGCUCCGGGGCGCGAGCUGCGGGGGUCUGAUGACCACCCCCUGUCUGAGGUGUAGCUGCAGUAGCCGAGACUGCCUGAGCCAGGCUAGUGCAAACCGAUAAGAUCUAAUCCAGUGCCUCCUAAACACCCAGAAUCACAAUAGGAAAUGCUGGUGCCUGAGCAGGUGCUACAGGAACCUCUACAGCUGGAGGCUGAUCCUGAAUGGGGGAAACUGGUGGGUCAACUGGUGCUUCCCCUGCUGCUCUGCCUUGACCAAGACCACGGACGCGUCCUCGGCCUCUAGUGGGUGGAAAUGGUGGUCGUCUGCCACGCCCGGUAGCACUAAUUCUCGCCAUCUGCGAGAGAAUAGAACACAAAUGUUUCGUUCUCGGAUCAACAAAGUUGCACGACAAUAAUUACAAGAAUAUGGAUUUUUUCCUAAAGGUUCUGCAACCUCUCGAGGAUAGGUACAGACGUCUCCAUACCGAUCCGCAGGACUCUACUGAACCGGCACAUGACUCACAAGGCCUGGUAACCUAGGCUCUGAUACCAACUUGUCAUGACCCAAACCCCGAUCGUGGUAGCGCCCAACACCUUGAUAGGAAAUCCCAACCAUUCAAAUAUUUCCAAGCCAAAUCAUUAACUUAAUGACCAAAUUUAGGAUAAAUUCUCAGUUUGAUAAUAACAGAAAAUACAGCGAAAAACGUAAUCAAAAGUAACAACAACCCAACGGAUCCGGCGUCACAAGUCUGAGCCUCAAAGUACACUGAACAGUAUCCUAAACAUAGAUAAUCAAGAUAUGGAAGCAAAAGAUAGAUAAGAGGAGAGAUCAGGUCCUGCGGUCGCCAGCAGCUACCUUGAUAACUCCGUACUGAACUGAAAAGCAGUAGCUAAUCGCAACUAAGCCUCUGGGAUCCCUGUAUCUGCACACAAGGUGCGGGGAGUAGAGUGAGUACUUCCAACUCAAUGAGUAAUAGCAAUAAAUAACAAAUGAAUGUAAAAAUCUGGUAAGAACACUAUACAGUUCUAAUAUCAACAGUAACGACAAUGCAUAUUGCUAAACAGGGUGAGAAUAUGAAAAAUACUUCUCUUUUUCCGUCUGACCAGUUACUAACACUGCUGCGACACGCAGCCCGAUCCAAUAUGAUAUAUAUAAUGAUGCGGCGCGUGCCCAAUCCAAUAUAAUAUNNNNNNNNNNNNNNNNNNNNNNNNNNNNNNNNNNNNNNNNNNNNNNNNNNNNNNNNNNNNNNNNNNNNNNNNNNNNNNNNNNNNNNNNNNNNNNNNNNAUAUAUAUAUAUAUAAUGCUGCGAUAGGCAGCCUGAUCCAAUAAUAUAGUAUUGCGCUGACUAGGGGUGUGUGCAAACUCAAGAAGGGCUCCAUCAGCCCAAGCCCUAUAAUAUUGCGGUGUGCACUCCGAUCCAUAUAGUAUAUAUAAUGCUGCGGCGUGCAAUUCGAUCCAAUAUAUAUAUAUAUAUAUAUAUAAUAAUGCGGCUUGCAGCCCGAUUGAAAAUAAUGUAUAUAAUGUUUCAGCGUGCUGCCCGAUCCAACAUAUAUAUAUAUAUAUAUAAAAUGAUGUGGCGCGCUUCCCGAUCCAAUAUAAUAUAUAUAAUGAUGAGGUGUGCAGCCCGAUCCAAUACAUGUAUAUGUAUAUACUGUUGCGGCGUGCAUCCCGAUCCGGUAUAUAUUAAAUACGCUCACUACGGGGUUCUUGACCCCUCUCAGUCAAUAUAGACAUGGUCUCUCGACCCAAUCAGCUAAGACAGUGUAUUCAACACUAGGUAUUGCUCAUUUAGGGUGCAAGUUACUACGUUCAGUUUAUUUCAUGAUUUACAGUCAAAGUCAGGACAUGUGGUAAGUGUUAAUAGGUAGAGUGAGGUCAAUCAGCUCAACAUGCUCCCUAGAAGUUCUACAGAUCGACACAAGGCCCCAAACAAGGAAACUAGCCCAAAAAUAUACAAGCACAAACUCAGUCUUAGUAGAAAAGUGCAGUAAGUCAUCAAUCGGGAUGGACCAAGUCCGAGUCCUCAGUAGAAACAUCACCACAUCAUAUGACGCGUGUUUUAACUCAACAUAGCACUGCAUAGUGCAAAUACAGGGUUUCAUACCCUCAGUAUAUAAUUCAUAACCAUUACUCACCUCAAACCGGCCAAAAUCCUAGCUCGCCUUGCGCUUUCCUCAGAAAUAGACCUCCUCGGGUGCAGAAUCUGACCAAAACCACAGGGAAUAUGCUAUAAUAGGCUAAUGGGACAUAACCCAAUAGAAAAAGCUCGAAAUAAAUACCCGAAAACACAAAGUUGGCAAAACCCGAGCCCCGAGCCCACUUCUCAAAAAAUUACAAAAUUUACAACACCGGAAUCCUCGUCUUGCCACGAGCCCGUACAAAUCAAAUUUACAAGAAUCAGAGUCCAUUUGACCCCUCAAAUAAACACUUUAAGCUCACUUGGGUUUCAUGCCCUAACCACCAUUUUUAACCUUCAAAACCUUGAAUCCUUAGUGCUUAACCCAUGUUUUUACACUAUAAUGAUAUAUUCUACGUCCAAGAAUCUAUACCUGAUUAUUUCCCCCAAAAUCCUCUUCAAAAUCGCUCCCAAACUUGCCUUAGUCUGAGGUCCAAAUGUUCUUCUCUUUUCAAACUUGUGAAAUCAAUGUUCAAUAAACCCAGCACGAUUUCCGCUUCUGCAGUCAUAACUCUUCUUAUGCGGCUCUCGGUUUUGCGGCCUCUCGACCACUUUUGCGGUCCAACUUAUUCUCCCAGGGACCGCAUUUGCGGUCAACUACCGCUUACGCGGUCACCGCCUAUGCGGUUUUCCUUCUGCAUUCGCAAUCCAGGCCACUUCCCAUUGGCCACUUUUGCGUCUCACCCGCCGCGUAUGCGGAACUUCUUAAGCGGCUCCUUUUUCGCAGACGCGGAAAUAGCAGAAGCAGCACAUCUAAAAAUGCCAAAAACUCCUACAACCUCCGUUCAACCAUCCGGAAUUAUCCCGAGGCCCCCAGGGCCUAAACCAAAAACACCGAUAUGAUAUAAUACCUUUUUCAAACUUGCUCGAGCCAUAAAAACACUAAUAUUAACACCAAAAAUCACCAAAUUCCUCCAAUCCAAGCCUAAGUUCCGUAAGAACUUCCAAAAUGCACAUACGACCAAAACCCCAACCAAAUGACGUCCGAAUGACGUAACAAUUUGCGGACAUAUCCAAUAUCACGUAACAAAGCAACUGCAACUCUCGAAUCCCAUUCCAACCUCCGGAUUAAAAUCUCACCUAUCAACCAGAAUUUUCCAAAAUUUAAACUUAGCCAAUUCAAGCCUAAUUUUACACCGGACCUCCAAAUUCAGUUUCGAUUUCACCCCUAAGUCAUAUAUCACCACCCGAAACUAGUCGAACCACCAAAUAUCCAUUCCGAGCCCUAUAACUCAUAAAUAAACAUCCGGUUGACUUUUCCAAACUAGCUUUCUCUUAAAGAGGCUAAUCGUCUCAAUUCCAAUCAAACUGUGUCCGAAUCAAUUCAAACUCUAAAAACAUAUUCAAAGAAGCAUACAGAAGCAUAAAACAGGGAAACCGAGGCGGUAACUCAUGUGAUGACGGGCCGGGUCAUCACAAUCGUUCCUCUACUUGAUGUGGUGGGAGUUGGUUGUUGAGUUAUUCGUUCUCCAUUUCCUCUUAUAUGAAAAUUUGAGAUUGUGAGGUUUGUUCUAUUCGCAACAACUGCAAGGAUUUUUAAAUUUCAGGAUCGUAUUUAACUAGUUCUCUAGAAGAGGGAUGGGUCAUGCACUUUCUGAAAUUUCUACAGAAAAUUUAAAAUAAUCAGACGGUAAAAAAUAUCAAAUUAGUAGUAAAACAAGUAAUCUGUAGUAGAUGUUGCCAAUCCCCGGCAACAACGCCAAAAAUUUGACGAGUGUCUGGCUUGUGUAUAAAAUUAAACUCGUACUCUGUCAAAUUAUAGCAUAGAAAGAUGUCGAACCCACAGAAAUUGGUUUAUCUAUUUAACAGACAUUUCUUGUUUUAAUUACAAUGUGAGAAACACAGAAAGAUUUGAGUUAUAAAUUAACUAAAUAAAAAUGCAUAAAUAGAGAAGCAGUAAAUAUUUUUAUUUUUCACAAAUGUUUUAAGAGGUGUUGGGAUCUUGACUUCACUUAAUAUUUCUAUUAUAUAGUAGAAUUUAUUAUUCUGCAAUCUCUAUUUCUCAAAAAGGUAUAGAUGCCUCUCAUGAUUACAAAUAUAUAUUAUUAGUCAAGUUGAAUAAUUAAUUGCACUCCUCUCGGUUGUACAAAUUAAUCUUCAAAAUUGUAAUACUAAAGAACCAGAAAUAUAUGAUUGAACUAAAACAUGCUCUUGAUAGUAGGUUACCCUAUUUGUUAUCACUGAUUAUUACACCAUUCACCUCUCUCGAUUACAAAUAAGUGUAAAAUUAAUAAUAACAUAAAAGAGAUAGAUGUUACUGAAUCAAUAUUAAUAUUUAUAAAUACUACAUUUAACUAUAUUAUUUCUUCUGCCUCUCUCGAUUUCAAAAUUAAUAAACAGUUAAUUAUUGAGUACAAGAUUGAUAGAUGUUAAUAAAUUAAAUAACGUCUAACUGUAAAAGCAGAUAAAAGUUAAAUAAUUUCUAGCUCAAGAAUGUGAACUUGAGGAACAAUAUCCACUAUUAUAUAGAAAUAUUAAGACAUGUCUUUCUUCCAAUACAAAAAAAAAUAUUACUCCAUACUAGAAUUAGUACUAACAAUGGAAAUAUUCUUGUCCACUAAAUAAGAAAAUAGAAAGAAAUAUUCAAGAAGAAUAAUUCUUCCUGUUUAAUUAAAAGCAGGAACUAGAGUAAUUUCCUACACUGGAAUUUAUUUAUAAACAACAACUAAACCACUAUUGUGAUUUAAAGAAAAGAUAACUCGAUACUAGUGAAAGAAAUAAAAUAGAGAAGCUUUUUUAAGAAUAUUGAUUCACACUUCUAACUCUAAGCUUUCUCUCUACUGCCUCGCUCUCUCAAUCGAUCAGCAAGGUCUUCUUAUAUAAGAAAAUUUCAUGAUGACUUCUCGAUUUGGUGCUAGAUUUCAUCAUGGCAAAUCUAGAUUUUGCAUAUAUGAGAAUUCAUAAUUUGAAGUUUAGAUUUCGUCGAUUUUAUCAUAGCAAAUCUAGAUUUCAUGUUUACAUAUAUAUGAGAAUCCGUAAGUUUGGGUUUAGAUUUCAUCGAUUUCAUCAUGGCAAAUCGAGACUUGGUGCAUUGUCACGACAGUAAUGAACCGUAGCUCGAUUUUACACUUCUUUAUAGUAUUUUUCUUCAUGUUGCGCACAACAAUUCUUCUAGAACUAUUCCUGCAUAAUAAAGCAAAGAAUAUGGAAGAAUCAUGAUAAUUUAUAUAUUUUUAUGAGAGAAAUUAUGUGGUUAAGAUUAGGCAAAAUGCAGUUAUCAUCGUAAUUUGAAGUUCAGAUUUCGUCGAUUUCAUCAUGGCAAAUCUAUAUUUCAUAUUUGUAGAUAUGAGAAUCUGUAAGUUUGGCUUUAGAUUUCAUCGAUUUAAUCAUGGCAAAUCGAGACUUGGUGCAUUGUCACGGCAAUAAUGAAUCCUAGCUCAAUUUCACACUUCUUUGUUGUAUUUUUAUUCAUGUUGCACAUAACAAUUCUUCUAUAAUUAUUCCUGCAAAAUAAAGCUAAGAAUAUGGAGAAAACGUGAUAAUUUGUAUAUUUUUAUAAGAGAAAUUAUAUGGCUAAGAUCAGGUAAAAUGCACUUAUCAGGGGAGGGCAAUUAGGAUUUAUAUUAGAAAAAUGAAUCUGGGCCGUUGAUCUCCUUUGAUCAACGGCUCAGAUUGAGUCUAGGCUGGAUUGAGUCAAAUUAUUUGGGUAUGGGUCGUCUGAAAUUGGGCCAAAAUUGGGUUUAAAAUUGGCGUUAAUUUGGGCCAUGUUUGCAACCAAAUCUGGCCAGGUUUUAAAUAGCCAAUUUCUCCCUUUUUAUUUAUAAAAAAAUAGUUAAAAAUGAUCUGAAAAAUUAUUGAAAGGACAUAAUUAAAUAAUAAUAUAUAAACUUUAAAAUAAAAUACUAGAAAGCGUUUUAUAAUUAUAAAAUAUGGUUAAUUGUAAAAUAUGUUAUAAUUGCAAUUUUAUGCAAUUUCGCUUUAUGAACUCCAAAUAAAUUUAUAAAAAUAUGCAAAAAUCAUGUUAAUUGUAUUUUGAUAUAAAUAUGAGAAUAAUAUAAAUUAUUCUCCAAAAUGGCAAGCUUUGGGAAUAAUUAUUGAAUUUUAUGGUGUAAAGUAGGUCAUAAAUUGGUUUUCAAAUCAUUAAAAAUACCCAAACCCUUUGGUGUGCUUAUAUAUACACAUAUAUUAUUUUGGAAGUAUUUUUUAGUAUACAAAUAUAUAUAUAAAAACUGGAAUAUCAACAUGGACCCAGCUUCCCUUCAUUUGGAUUUUGAGUGUUGAGGGUGACCUUCCUUAGCACCAAGUCCCCUGCUGAGGAUUGGCUCUUUGAUUAUAGUACCUUUUGACCUGCUUUAUUUGAGCGUCCAGUCAGACAAGGGAAGCUUCCUCUCUAUCGUCCAACAAUUCUAAACUUGUAUUCAUGGCUUUGUUAUUUGACUCUUCUGUUGUAUAUCGAAACCUAAUGAUGGGUUCUAUGACCUCGACUGGGAUUAAAGAUUCAGCACCAUAGACUAAUGAGAAAGGUGUUGCUUCGGUACUAGAUUUCAACCUGUUAUUCCCAUAGAACCUCGGGAAAUAUCUUUUUCUAUUUCCCUUUGGCAUCGGUCAACCUUUUCUUAAAGUUUUCAAUAAUAGUUUUGUUAGUCGAUUCGGCAUGUUCGUUUCCACUGGGGUGAUAAGAUGUCGAUAGGAUUUUCUUAAUCUUGUGAUCCUCAGAAAACUUAGUCACUUUGCUACCGACGAAUUGCUUUCCAUUAUCGCCUAAAAUCUCGAGGGCCAUCCUGAAUUGACAUAUGAUGUGGUCCCAUAUGAGGUCUAUGACUUCUUUUUCUCUGACUUUCUCGAAAUUCUGUGCUUCAACCCACUUAGAAAAAUAAUCAGUCAUAUACUGAGCUAUAUGUGGGGCCGAUAGAAGGGGGCUGACCAUAUCCAUUCCCCAUUUCAUGAAUGUCCAUGGGGAUAAUACUUAGUGGAGCAGGUCCCCUGGCCGGUGAAUCAUCAGCGUAUACCUAUGACAUUUGUCACACUUUCGGAUGAACUCUGUGGUAUUUUCCACAUCAUCUAAAUAGUAUCCCGCUCUGGUAUAUUUAUGAAUGAGUGAUUAGGCACCAGAGUUGUUUCCAUAAGUGCCUUCAUAAAUUUCCUGUAGGACGUAGUCCAUGUCUCCUGGUCCCAAAUAUAUCGCCAAUGGCCCAUAAAACGUCCUCCUGAAUACCGGUCCAUCCUCGGCCAAGGUAAAUCGUGUUGCCUUUCAUCCGUUGAGCUCUUGACUCUUUUGGAUCCGAUUGGAGCUUUCCGUUCUUUAAGUACUCUAUGUACUUGUUUCUCCAAUCCCAAGUUGUUUCUCCAAUCCCAAGUCAAACUCGUAGAGUUUAUCUCGGUAUCGCCUUCCUCGAUUACUAAUCUAAGAUUUGUACGAUAGUCCCCGAUUUAAGUUUGUCAUCUUCGACCAAUGAUGCUAAGUUUGCAAGUGCAUAUACCUCACUAUUCUACUCUCAAGGUGUGUGUUGUAAGGUCCAUUCUUUAAAUCGGUGCAAAGUUAUAUGUAGCUUUUCUAAGUAUAUGUAUUCGAUCUUCUCGCAUUUUGAAAGUUCUCUUGACUUGGUUUACCACAAGUAGGGAAUCACAUUUAGCCUCGAUAGCCUCUGCUACCAAACUUUUAGCUAGCUUGAGACCUGAAAUCAUGGCCUCAUACUCGGCCUCAUUAUUAGUUAACUUAGAAGGUUUGAUAGAUUGCCUAAUAUGUUACCCAUGGGAGGCUUCAGAACAAUGCCCAGCCCGGACCCUUUCACAUUCAAAGCACCAUCUGUGAAAAAGGUCCACACCCCCGAUGAUGUACCCGAUUUCAAUAAUAUUUCCUUUUCGACCUUGCGCACGAGGUCUGGCAUGAAGUCGGCCAUGAAGUCUGCCAAGAUUUGAGACUUGAUGGCUAUUCAGGGUCUAUAUUCGAUAUCGUACCCGCUUAUCUCAAUGGUACUUUUGGCCAAUCAAUCCAAAAGUUUGGGUUUGUCCAAAGUAUUGCAAAGGGGAUAGGCAGUUACAACGCAUAUCGAAUGACAUCAGAAAUAUGGUUUUAAUUUCCUAGAGGCGCUUAUUAAAGUGAGCAAUAAUUUUUCUAAGUGUGGGUAUCGACUCUUGGUCUCACCUAAGGUCCAACUAACAUAGUUCAUAGGGAAUUUCGUACUAUGCUCAUCUCGAACUAGGACCCCACUUACCGCUAUCUCUGAGACUGCUAAGUAUAAGUAGAGUUGCUUGUCCGUUUUUUGGGGUGUGAAGCAAUGGUGGACUCGACAAGUAUCGUUUUAGUUCAUCUAAGGCCUGCUAACAUUUGGGGGUCCAUGAUUCUUCCUAAGCAGCGACAAAAAAUUGAUGACUCUGGUCUGAGGACCUCAAAAUGAAUCGUCCAGGGUUAUAUGUGCCAUGUUAGCCUAUGUACGACCUUUACACUAUCUACGACCUUGAUAUGCUUGAUAGAUUUGAUCUUAUCAGGGUUGAUAUCGAUCCCCCGAUUGGAGACCAUGAAUCCGAGGAACUUUCCUGAGCCGACCUAGAAUGCGCACUUUUCUGGAUUAAGCUUCAUGUUGUACUUCCUUAAUAUGUCAAAGGUCUCCUACAAUUAUUUCAAAUGGUCCUCUACUCGCAGGGACUUAACUAGCAUGUCAUUAAUAUGAACUUCCAUUGAUUUUCCUAUUUGUUUCAAUUUACUAGACGUUGAUAAGUUGCACCAGUAUUUUUUUGUCCGACGAUAUUACUUUAUAAAAAUAGGUGUCAUACUUAGUGAUAAGGAGGUGUUUUCGUGAUCCUUCAGGUUUAUCUGUAUUUGAUUUUACCCAGAGUAGACAUUGAGAAAGCUGAGAAUAUCGUGACCAGCUGUAGUAUCGAUUAUACGAUCGAUAUUCGGAAAAGGAAAAUUAAUCCUUAGGGCAACUCUUAUUCAAAUCCUUAUAUUCUACGCACAUUCUAAGUUUAUUUCCCUUCUUAGGACCAAUACUACAUUUUCUAGCAAUUUGGGAUAUUUUACUUCCCGAAUGGAUCCGAUUUUAAGAAGUUUAGAUACCUCGUCCUUGAUGAAUGCAUGCUUAACCUCGGACUGGGGCCUUCUCUUUUCUUCUACUGGAUGGGACUUUGGGUCCAACCUCAAUCGGUAUGUAGUGAUCUCUGGUGGGAUCCCUUUCAUGUUGAGAUGGGAUAAAGCAAAGAAAUUUAUGUUAGCUGUAAGAAAAUGAAUAAUGUUUUUUGUGAGAUUGGGGGUUAGCCCCGUACCCAGGUAUACCUUUCGUUAUGGCUGGUAAUCGGUCAAUGUGAUUUGUUCCAGCUCAUCGACCGUUGAUUUGGUGGCAUCAGAGUCUUCAGUAACUACGAAGGAUCAAGGUAUUCUAAAGUUGUCAUCCUUAUUCAUCUCCCACUUCUCCGAUUGGGUCGAGGCCGGCGUCUGUGGUUGAUAUUUAGCCUCUUGCUUUCCCUUCGAGUCUAAUUCCUUUACCGAAGAAAGUGCUGACACUGAUAUUACCUCUUUAAUUGCAAACAAAUCUUUGGCGACAUGUUGUUCUCUGUACACAAUUUUGACCCCUUCAGAUGAUGGGAACUUCAAAACUUGGUUAAGGGUCUAGGCUACCACCCUUAUGUUAUAGAUCCAAGGCAUUCCGAGCAGAGCAUUGUAUCUCAUGUUCCCCUCAAUCACAUAGAAUAUGUUUCUUAGAUGGUCCUGGCCUCAUACACUUGAAAGAAUAUCUCCCCUUUGGUGGUUUUGCUCGCCAUGUUGAAACUAUUAAGCACUCAGGAUACAGGCACAAUUUGAUCUUGUAGGCCGAGUUAUUCCACGACCCUUGAUCGAAUAAUGUUGGUCGGGCUACCUGGAUCAACCAAAAGACAUUUAAAAUCCAUUCUCUCUAUUUAGAGUAGUUGAAACAGAAUUUGAUCGAAUAUCCAAACAGAAUUUGACCUUGAGUAAAACCUUGAACAACCCAAUCAUCGGUGACUGAUUGAAAAUCCAUUCUCUCUAUUUGGAACUGGGAUAUGAAAUCCCUAAAAAUUUUGUUAUCUUUCUAUCUUACCUUGAAGAGGUCCGACUUUCUGGUAGCAAUCUUAAUGGAUCUGGUAUAUGCCUUCACAAAAGCAUCGGCAAGCAUAGAAAAUGAAUGAAUAGAGUUAGCUGGUAGUUAUGGUACCAUAUCAUAGCACCCUUUGAUACAGUUUCCCCAAACAUUAUCAGCAAUACCGACUCAAUCUCGUCGUCUUCCAAGUCAUUUCCCUUAAAGGUGCAUGUGUACAAGGUGACGUGCUUAUUUGGAUUUUUAUCCUGUUAUAUAUUGGGAUCUCGAGCAUACAGAAUUUUUUGGGAAUUGGCUUCAGAGCCUCACUCUAGGGGAAAGGCUUUUGGAAAAACUUUUUGGAAUCAUGUCCUUUCAGUACCGGUUAUGCCCCCGGGAUUUGGUCAACCAUGGAAUUACAAUUUUCCAUUUUCUUAUUGUUUUCCUUGAUUUUCUUUUCCCCUCUCUCAAUACGCCUCGUUAGUUCUUCAAGAAUCUUUACGAUAGUAGGAUUGUUCUCCAGUUCUCCUCCAUUCGCCGACUCGGCUCUAUGAAAAAUUUCUUGCGAUGGAUCGAUCUCGGUCUUGCUUGGUGCAUGAUUAUGCUUGUAGGGUCUGCAACAAUUCAAAUAUCAUUUGAAGAUGAAUACCACAUUCUUCGUCGUCCUGAGCAUUCUAAUCUGUCGUUCAAGCACCUCUGCGAGCGCUAUCUUUGGGCUCGACGCCCGAAUUCCCAUUAAUGGCAAUAUGAGAGCUGACAUCGAUCGGAUCCACGGCCAGAAUACCAUCUGAAUUUACUGGAGGUACUCCGCUUCAUGGGGUGACUAUGUUAUCAUUCUCGCCAUAGAGACCGAGGCCAUUGUCCGUGUGUGUAGCUGCUACUUGAGAGUUUGACAUGUUGGUCCUGAAUCAAAGAUACUUCGAAGAACAAGUGUAAAAUAGUGUAUGUUAUUAAAGUAGUACCAGGCAAUCACUAUUAUCCUUAACCCUACAGUGGGCACCAAAUUAUUUACCCUAAAAAUUGGAUAACAAUUAAACUUAUAAGUGAUUUUAAGGAUAUGUAAUUUCAUCUUGCACCAGUUGAUAAAUAAGAUGAUUGAUAGUAGAAAUAAACAAUAAAGUAAAACAACCGAAUAUUGAAAUGCAAUUCAUCCCUUGAGUUAGGUCACCCUCGAACGAAGUAAGUUAUGGAAUAAACUGAUGAACAAGAGAAUUUAAGGGGGGGAAGUAUUGUAUUGCUUGGGCAUGCGUGAAUGUAAGGUCAUUACAAAAUAAUUAGAACCCUAGCAUAAGAAUCCGAUCUAUGGUACAAUCCUAAUUACAGAAGUAAACCCAUGAUUAGCUAAACAACCGCCCUUGUUUUAAUUUAUUCCGAGAUUUUCGUCAUGAUCUUGGACUAGUCACGGAUAUAUUGAUCUCGUUUUUCAGUUAUUAUGCUAUCUUCGGUCUUUCUCGAUGUCUGUUCGAUCUCGAUCAUUACUGGUUUCGAUCUUGCUAGGUACCUCGAAUCUCGAACUUGGUCUCUUAUCCUUAUAUUGAUCCGCGAUCCAUCCCCUUGGUCACCAUUAAUCAGUAAAAUCGGAUAGGCCCGAUUUUAACAGUAUACAAGGAUCAUAGAGUCGAAUUGUGAUACAAUAGCAGUUCAGUUAGUAAUAUUAAUUAAAAUCCAUUUGAGACUAAAAGAUUGAAAAAAAAUUGUAAAGUGAUAUACAUUGCCUUGUGUAUGGAAUGUAGAUUACGAGGGCUACACUAUUGGUAAAUUAAAAAUUCACGCAGUAGCAGUUACAUGAAAAACUGCAAUGUGGGAUAGAUGGGUUUCCCUAUUGGAACUAAAAUGUAUUCACGUCUAGAAAUUCGGUCAAAACCCGGCCAACCGACCUACUUCAGUCGGCCAGAAAAGCAACCAAAUAACCGAAAUCAGUAGGCUUUUUUCACAAUAUUUUUUUUAUUAUGAAACCGACCAACUUCGAUUAAUUAUUUUACAAAAAUAUGCAAAAGUUAUUUUUUAAGCGUCGGCCAAUUUUGGUCGAUUUUUAUUAGAAAUAAAUUUAAAUUUAAAUUUAAAAAAUCAGCCGAAUUUGUCGAUUAUUUCGAUCGGUCCUUUAAAAAAAGUCAACCGAUUUCAGUCGAUAAUUUUAUUUGUUAAUAAAAUCGAUCGAAAUCGACUUGUUAUUUUCACACGAAAAUUAUAAUUAAAGAGUAUAAAUAAAAUAAAAUAAAAUUUUAAACUAAAAUGCACCAAUGGUCUAUUGGUAUAAUAAUAUCAUGCCACAUUAUAGAUCCCAGUUCGAUUCUUAGAUGGUGUAUUUUUUAAUUACUUAAUUAAAAAUAUGAACAGACUUCGGUCAAUUUUUUCAGUCAAUUUUUUUUCUGAUCAUUUGUGAAAUUUAAUUGACUAAUCGAUUGGAAAGCAUCAAUCAAAGUCGAUCGAUUGACUCUAUCGGCCACAUAAUUACCGACCGCUAUGAAUCGAUCGGUUUUCGGUCAAUUUUUACCGGUUUGUUUUGACAAUCGGUUUUCCCCUUUUCUCAGUAGUGAUUACAGUAAUUAAAUUAGACUUAGAAUUAAAAUAAUACUUGAGUCGUCAUCCUCAAUAAAACAAAUGGGAAAAUCAUGGUCGGAAAGCUAUCAAUAAUAUAUGAACCAUGAAAAUUCUUCUUAAUUCCAUGUUGAAAAUUAAUUCAAUGUUGAAGUAGGAAAAUACUAAUUAUUUAGAAUUUGGUAUUCGUUUGUUUUUUUGGUUCUCUGUCUAAAUAAGAUUUGUCGUCAAAAUAAUAAUAAAAUAAAUUUUCUAGUUUUAGUUAGAGUAGAUUUGAUAUUAUUUAAAUUAAGAAGCUACUACUAGAGAUCCUUUAAAGUUUGACUAAAAAAAUCGAACAUUUGAUUUAUUAUAUUACUGUAAAAAUAGGAGUUACUAAUAUCAAGUGGUUGUGAUUAUGGGGUACAAAGGAAAUCGACAAACCGCACUAAAUCAAUAAUUCGAGUCAAAUCGAGAAAAAAAUCCAGUUAUAGUUUGCUUUGAAUUGGUUUGGUGUUGAAAAAAAACAAUCAUAAUUGGUUUGGUUUGGUUUUAACUAAAGAAAGUCAAACUGAAACCAAACCAACCCGACAUUACAUAUAUAAAUUUUUCAGAUAUAUUUAAUAAGUAUAAAAAUGUAACGACCCGACCUGUCGUUUUGAGUGUUACAGCCUCAUUUCCCACAUUAAUACUUAUUUAUGUAUUGUUCAGCUAUAUUGAGGUGUAUCUAGUUGGUAGAUUUGGUUCGGAGUAAUUUUGGAGUGAAAUGAACAUUUAGACUCUUAGUUAGAAAGAUAAGUUGGAAAAGUCAAAUGAUAUCAUAUUGAACAAAUGAGCUUUGAUUUCCUUUUUGAUUGAAGCGUUAGGUCCGUAUCGUAAUUAUGGACUCGUAGCAAAAAGAAUUAUCGAAUUUGGACAUCGUAUGUGGAUUGUAUCGUCAUUAUACUAAGAAUUAGGUUGUCAGAUUUUUUUUAGAUUAAUUACGAAAUUGCUACUACUAGCGUCUUUAAAAAUCUGCACUAUUUGUAAAUAUUAAAACCUACAUAUCUCAUUCAUUAUAAGGUCAAAUGGAGUGAUUCAAAAGCCUAAAUUUACUAUAAUUUCACAAAGAAUCCAAUGGAGGCAUAACAUAUGAGUUUCGGGGUUGAUUGGAAUGAAAACCAAGACAGAAUAGCUGGAAGAAAAAUAUAUAAAACUUGGAUUUUUUCAUUCGAUCAUAUUUUGAGUUGGGGAGCUCGGAUUUGGGUGAUUUUGGAGGCAAUAUUCACCAUAUGGAUUAGGAUAAGUGUUCUCUAUUUGAUUGCGGUUAUGUUUCAUGAAUCCAUCUUCAUUUUUGGGAUUUGAUUGAUAAUUUCAAAGUGAAAUAGAGGGUGUUAGGGAUCGCGUUUUAGAGAGUUUUAAUUGAGGAUUUGAGGGACCAAAUAGAGUCCGAUUUUGAUAAAUUUUAUAUGGUUAGACUCAGGAGAGAACGAGGUUUAUGAUUCUGUCAUUUUUGACUGGUUUUGAGACAUGGGCCUGGUGGCCGGAUUUUGGCCAAUUUCGGAUUUUUUUUUUUAUAUUUUGUAGUUUUUAUUGUGGAAUUCGAUUCUUUCGGCUAUGUUUAUAGUAAUAAUCUUAUUAUGGUUAGGUUCAGAGCUUUUGGAGACCGGGUCCAGAUACGAGGGCAUCUCGGAGUAGGAUUUUAUGCGGAUGAGAUAAGUAACAGUUUUAACUCUGGCUUUGAGGGUAUAAACCUGGAGAAAGUAACAUUAUGUAGUUGUUUGGUGGUAAUACCCAUGCUAUGUGACGGGCAUGUGGGUUUGCACCGCGAGGUAUUGAGACUUGGCCUGUCCCGUAAGGUUGUGGGCCUAAUGGUUGUUAUUUGUAGUUAUGUGUUUACUUGUUGUUGAACUUGUUUGCCUUCAUGUUAGAGAUCAUGCUUAGGCUUUAAUCAUUCUCACGUUAUUUUAUAUGUAGUCAUAGAAACUAUUAUAUAUUUUUACCUCAGUCUUUAUUAUUUGGUAAUAUGUUGUGAAAGUUGAUUUGGGUUAUGUCCCCUUAUUUGUUGAUGAUGGUGAGGCUAGUGAGGUACAUGAUUGAGUGAGGGCAAGGGCCUGGUUGUGAGGAUAUUAAUACCAUAGCGCAUGAGUUAUCUGCAUAGCAUGUGAAUUGACCGUGCAGGUUCCGGUAUUGAUACCAUAGUGUGUGAGUUGUCCGCAUAACACGUGAGUUGACCGUGCGGAUCCAAUUAUUGAUAUGGUAGCACGUGAGUUGUUCGUGUGAUUGGGCUUUGGGAGCCCCUCUGGAGUCUGUAAGCACCCCAGUGAAGCGUAGAGUAUUGGCUGUAUUGAGUGUUGAGUGUUGAGUGAUGGAGUGACAUUUCGUUGAGGUUGCAUUUACUUUUGUUGUUGUUGUAAUUACAUGUUAACUUCUUUGUGGUAUUUUUUGAAUUUAUGGAAUUUAUUUAUUUAUUCAUGUUUAUUAUAAAUUAUAAAAAUAAAUAAUUGAACUGUUUUACUUAGCUCGUCACUACUGCCCAAUUCCUUUGUUAUUUCUGUUACUACUGAUGUGGUUGUACUCAUACUAUACCCUGCACUUUAUGUGCAGAUUCAAGUGAGUUAGAGCACAUCGAUUGUUGAGUUCAUGUCGCCUAUCUAUGGAGAUUGCAAGGUAGUUGUCAGCGUCUGCAGGACCUUGUUACUCCUUCUGCCAUUUCUUCUUUUCGUUAGACAGUUCAUAUAUUUUAGUUUGUAGUUUUAGACGCUCGUGACUUAGUAACACCCCGAUGUUUGGGACUCCUUUUCGUAUUUAUAUUAAUUAUAUUUAGAGUUGGUUUAGUUUAUCAAGCAUUAAAUGAUUGAAAAUAUUUUAUUAAAUUCUUAUAAUAAAAUUAGUAGUAAUAUUUUUGGAAUAAACUUGCCUUGUAACACGAUAUGUGUCAUCACGACCAUGGUUAGAUUUUGGGUCGUGACAAGUUGGUAUCAGCUCCAGGUUACAUAUGUAUCACGAGUUAUGAGCGGGUUUAGUAGAGUCUUGUGGAUCGAUACGGUGACGUCUGUACUUAUCUUUGAGAGGCUGCAGAACCAUUAGGAAACUUCACCUUCAUGAAUUCUUAUCGUGCGGUAUUGAUUCAGCUUGAAGUGUAACUCUUUGAAUUCCUUCCACGCAUUCGUAUGCGCACAUGAGCGCUCGGUAUCAUAUGUGCAUCGACAGAUUGUAAUUCCCUUGAUGGGUACAUGAUAAGUAUGAUAUGACCACGAGAUGAGUUCACAUGAUUUGAAUGUGACUAGAAGGUAUUGCUGAAGGUUUCACCUAUUCGAGACUCCAGUUACGUUUUUAGACUCGUUGAGGACGAAUGUUUGUUUAAGAGGGGGGAUACAACGACUCGGCCUGUCGUUUUGAGAGUUAUAGCCCCAUUUCCAACAUCUAUGUAUAUGUAUGUGUUGUAUAACUAUAUUGAGUUGUAUCGAGUUGGUAGGUUUAGGUUCGGAGUAGUUUUGGAGUGAAAUAAACAUUUAGUCUCUUAGUUAGAAAGCUAAGUUAGAAAAGUCAAUCGGAAGUUGACUUAUGAGUAAAAGAAUUCGGAUUUGGAUUUUUAUGAUUUGGUUAGCUUCAUUCGGUGAUUUUAGAUGUAGGAGUGUCCCCGGAAUGUAAUUGGCGGUCCAUGGUAGAAUUAGGCUUGGAUUGGCGAAAGUUGGAAGUUUAGAAGUUCUUAGGCUUGAAUGCGAGGGUGAUUUGGUAUUUGGUAUUGUUUGAUGUUCCGAAGGUUUGACUAAGUACGGAUAGUGAUAUAUGAGUCUUUGGAAUUUUUGGUUGAGGUUCCGAAGGCGUCGGGUGAGUUUUGGAUUGCUUCGGGUUGUGUUGCACUUAUUUUUCAUAAGUUUCGAUAAUGUUUCUUCAAGCAUAAAUAAUAUCAUAUUGGACAAAUGAACUCUGAUUUCCUUUUUGAUUGAAGCAUUAGGUAUGUAUCAUAAUAUGGACCCGCAGCAAAAAGAAUUAUCGAAUUUUGACAUUGUAAUAGGAUUUUAUGGUCAUUUUAUUAAGAAUUAGGUUGCCAUAUUUUUUUAGAUUAAUUAUGAAAUUACCACUAGCAGCGUCUUUAAAAAUCUGCACUAUUUGCAAAUAUUAAAACCUACAUAUCUCAUUCAUUAUAAGGUCAAGUUGAAUGAUUAAAAAGCCUAACUUGAUUAGAAUUGCACAAGGAAUUCGUUGGAGGAAUAAAAUAUGAGUUUCGUGGUUGUUUGGCAUGAGAAACAAGGCAUAAUAGCGGGAAGAAAAAUAUAUCAAACUAGGAUAUUUCCAUUCGAUCAUAUUUUGAGUUUGGGAGCUCGAAUUUUGGUGAUUUUGGAGGCGAUUUUCACCAUAUGAAUUUGGGUAAGUAUUCUCUACUCAAAUUUUGUUAUGUUUCAUGAAUCCAUCUUCGCUUUUGGGAUUUGAUUGAUAAUUUCAAAGUGAAAUUGAGAGAGUUAGAGUUUGAGUUUUAGAGAGUUUUAAUGUAGAAUGUGAGGGACCAAACAGAGUCCAAUUUUGAUAAAUUUUAUAUGGUUAGACUCGAGAGAGAACGAGAUUUACGAUACUGCCAUUUUUGACUGAUUUUGAGACAUGGGCCCAGAGAUCGAAUUUUGGCCAAUUUCGGAUUAUUUUUAUAUUUUGUAGUAUUUAUUGUGGAAUUCGAUUAUUUAAACUAUGUUGAUAGUAGUAAUCUGAUUAUGUUUAGAUUCAGAACUUUUAGAGAUCGAGUCCUCAGACGAGGGCAUCCUGGAGUAGGAUUUUAUGUGAUUGAGGAAAGUAACCGUUUUAACUCUUGCUUUGAGAGUACAAACCCAGAGAAAGUAAUAUUAUGUGAUUGUUUAGUGGCGAUACCCAUGUUAGGUAACAGGCGUGUUGGUUUUCACCGCGAGGGAUUGUGACUUGGUCCGUUCCGUGAGGCUGUAGGCCUAAUGGUUGUUAUCUGUAGUUAUUUAUUUACUUGUUGUUGAACUUGUUUGCCUUCAUGAUAGAGAUCAUGCUUAGGCUUUAUUCAUUCUCACGUUAUUUGUACGCAGUCAUAGAAACUAUUGUAUACUUUUACCUCAAUGUUUAUUAUUUGGAAAUAUGUUGUGAUACCUUAUGUGGGUUGUGUUCCCUUAUUUUAUGAUGAUGGUGAGGCUAGUGAGGCACAUGAUUGAGUGAGGCUGAGGGCCUGGUUGUGAGGAUAUUAAUACCAUAGCACGUGAGUAAUCCGCAUAGCACGUGAGUUGACCGUGCGGAUCUAGGUAAUCAUAUGGUAGCACGUGAGUUGUCCGUGCUUAGCGCUUGGGCUUUGGGAGCCCCUCCGGAGUCUGUACACACUCCAAGUGGAGUGUAGAGCAUUGGGUGUAUUGAGUGCUGAGUGAUGGAGUGUCAUUGCUUUAAGGUUGCAUUUACUUUUGUUGUUCCUGCAUUUACCUGUUAACUUCUUUGUGGUAUUUGUUUGUUUUAUGGAAUUUACUUAUUUAUUCAUGUUUAUUAUAAAAUAUAAAAAUAAUUUAUUGGACUGUUUUACUUAGCUCGUCGCUACUGCUCAGUUCCUUGGUUAUUUAUGUUACUACUGAGGUGGUUGUACUCAUACUACACCCUGCACUUUAUUUGCAGAUUUAGGUGAGAUAGAGCACAUCGAUUGUUGAGUUCAUGCUGGCUAUGUGUGGAGAUUGCAAGGUAGUUGUCAGCAUCCGCAGGACCUUGUUACUCCUUUUGUCAUUUCUUCUUCUGGAUAAUUAGACAAUUUAUAUAUAUAAGUUUGUAGUUUUAGACGCUCAUGACUUAGUGACGCCCCGAUAUUUGGGACUCGUUUUCGUAAUUUAUAAUUAUAUUUAGAGUUGGUUUAGUGUAUCAUGAAUUAAAUUAUUGAAAGUAUUUUAUUAAAUUCUUAUAAUCAAAUUAGUAGUAAUAUUUUGGGAAUAGGCUUGCCUUGUAACAUGAUAGGUGCCAUCACGACCAUGGUAAGAUUUUGGGUCGUGAAUAGUUGGUAUCAGCGCCAGGUUAUGUAGGUCUCACGAGUCAUGAGCGGGAUUAGUAAAGUCUUGUAGAUUGGUACAGAGACGUUUGUACUUAUUUUUGAGAGGCUACAGAACCUUUAGGAAACUUUACCUUCUUGAAUUCUUAUAGUUCGGUAUUUUUUCUGCUUGAAGUGUAACUCUUUGAAUUCCUUCCACACAUUCGUAUGCGCACAUGAGCACUCGGUAUCAGUUGUGCAUUGCGAGAUUGUGAUUCCCUUGAUGGGUACAUGAUAAGUAUGAAAUGACCGCGAAUGAGUUCAUAGGAUUUGAAUGUGACUAGAAGGUAUUGCUGAAGGUUUCACCUAUUCGAGACUCCAGUUAUGUUUUUAGACUCAUUCGAGGACGAACGUUUUCUUAAGAGGGGAUGUAACGUGCGGCCUGUCAUUUUGAGAGUUAUAGCUCCAUUUCCUACAUCUAUGCUUAUUUAUGUGUUGUUCAGCUAUAUUGAGUUGUAUCGAGUUGGUAGGUUUGGGUUCGGAGUAGUUUUGGAGUGAAAUGAACAUUUCGUCUCUUAGUUAGAAAGCUAAGUUAGAAAAGUCAAUAUUAAGUUGACUUAUGAUUGUUGGCCCAAGUUCAAUUGAAGUUUUGAAGAUUGACAAAUGAACUCGGGGAAGGACCUGGUCCAUCCUGGAAGACACAGUUAGUCAUAACCAUUGCACAUGGAAGACACGUGAGGAAGAUAUGUAUUGAAGACUGUGUAGCAAAUAUCUUCUGAACGGAAUCGAAAAUGUUGCAUUGAGUUCUAAGGAGGACAGUCUCCUCAUGAUAGGAGAACACAAUCCUAAGCUAGGAUAAGGAUGGGAGUCUGUAUUGGUUAAGGACUCAAACGGACUAAGGAUAGCAUUAGAGUCUUGAUCAAACUCUUGCUGUUAUUCUAUUAAAUAACCAAGUUGUUCUCUUUCACAGGUAAUGCACAUACACAGAGGUUAAGCAUAUUAAAGAGAAAAAAGAGCGAGACUGCUUUUGCAAGCAACAUAUGCAAGAUACAAGUGUGCACGCCUAAAGCUACAUGAACUAAGAGAGAAGAACCAGUUCCAUCAUUGUGUUUAUUUCUAGUUCAAUUGUAGUAGGUUUUCAUAUUGUACCUUUCAGCUUUUCUAGAAGCAAUUGUAUUAGGUACCUUGUGUAAUCAAGUUAGAGUUAACUUGAUAGUGUCGCAGCAGCUGAGGUUGUGUGCCACACAGGGACUAGAGUUUAAUCAUUAGGUUUACAAAGAGUCUUUGUAAAUUUGAUUGGCUCAUUGAUUUUUAGUGGAGUUUGGGAAAAUCCUACCGAGUAGUAGGCCGUGGUUUUUUCACCUUUUGAUCCAGGUGUUUUUCACGUAAAAAUCUCUGUGCACUUUACUUUCAGGCCUUAUUAUUCCGCAAACUGCUGUAGUUAGAACACUUAGAAGAACCAAGUUCUUCUAACGCAAAAAUUAGGUACCACGCAAAUCAUCCCCACCCCCCUCUUAUGUGGUAUUGACGUUUAUUAACUUCAAUUGGUAUCAGAGUGGGUUAUCUUUGAAGAGGCUAACACCUUAGGAAAAGAUCAACAUGAGUUCAACACUUGGGAACUGGCAAGGGUAAUCCACUACCAGACCUCCUAUCUUCAAUGGCCUCUACUACUCCUGGUGGAAAAGCAGAAUGAGGGACCACAUCAUGGGUGAAGACAUGAGCUUUGGGACAUCAUUACUGAUGGUCCUUUAGCCACAACCAAGAAUAAUGCUAAAGUAUUGGAUGUUCCAAAGACUAGAUCGGAUUGCACUGCUAAAGAUCUCAAGAAGUGGGAGAAAAAUGCAAAAGCCAAGAAAUGGCUAGUGCGUGGACUUGAUCCUGAUGAGCACAGUAGGAUUCAAGGUUGUACUACUGCCAAGGAGAUUUUGGACAGUUUACAAGUGGCUCAUGAAGGAACACCUCAGGUGAAUAGGUCAAGAGGAACACUGUUGUAUUCUCAGUAUGAGAAUUUUACUAUGAAUGAUGGAGAAACUAUCCAAGAGAUGUAUACAAGGUUAACUCACUGACCAAUGAACUUGAGUCUUUUGGAAGGGUUAUUCUAGAAGUAGACAAGGUUGAGAAGAUUCUAACUAGAGUUCUGCCAAUCUCCUGAGAAAGAAAAAUCACUGCUAUUCAGGAAUCCAAAAACAUUGCUAUUUUGAAAUUGGAUGAACUGAUUGGAACUCUGACUGCCUAAGAAUUGAGAAGGUAAAUAUGAAGAUGGAUGAUCCAAAGAAAGAAAGAAGAUUGGAUCUCAGAAUCUCAGAAGGAUCAGAUCUCAAGAUGAUGAAAUGGCUAUGAUAACUAGAGAUUUCAAGAAAUAACUUAUGAGAGGAAAGGGUCCUUCAAGAGGAACAUCAUUUAACAAACCUAGGGCUCCUGAGAAGCAGACAAAUGAUGGUUGCUUUAAGUGAGGAAAGACAGAUCACAUGAUAAAAAACCGCCCUCAAUGGGAAAUUGAAUGGAAGAAGGAAAGGGCGGAAAGAAGGAACAGGAAGAAGGAACAGGUUCAACCAAGAAGGAACAAAGGAACAACCAAAGCUAUGGUUGAUUCAUGGGGAUACACGUCAGAUGAAGACUCAAAAAAUGAAGCUGAAGAUGAGCAAGAUCUUAUGGCUAUCGAAGAAUCAGAAGAUGAGCAAGAGUAAGUGUUCUACAUCUUAAAGAAAAGAUUAUAUUUUUGUCUAAAGAAAAGUUGGCCGAGCUUUUGAUUGACUUCACAGAUGAGUCUGAAAUCAUAAACAGUGAGAAAGAUAUUUUGUCUAAGGACUCUGUAAUCCUAGAAGAAAAAUGCAAAAGGUUAGAGUCUAGGGCUAAGGAGAGAGAUAACACAAAUACUGAGUUUUCUUCAACUGCAAAACAAUAUCCUAGAACUUAGGUCUGAGAACCUAAAACUAAAAAUAGGGACAGGAAAGAAAAAGACCGAUCAAUCAUUUCUUGCACUAGAAGAAAAUUUAGGAAAAAUGAAAUAUGAGUUAUAUAAGAAAGAUGAAUUGAUUAAUGUCAUAAAAGAAGACUUAGGAAAGGUAAAUCAUGGACUAGGCAGAACAUGCAAAUGGAACAAGGCUUCCGAUGCACUCUCCUAGCUGCAAGAACAUCAUUGUAGCAAUAAGAGAGGACUUGGAUUCGGGACACAAGCUCCAAAAUGGGAUCCCAAAAACAAGUACCUCACACUUCCUGAGAAUAAGAUCNNNNNNNNNNNNNNNNNNNNNNNNNNNNNNNNNNNNNNNNNNNNNNNNNNNNNNNNNNNNNNNNNNNNNNNNNNNNNNNNNNNNNNNNNNNNNNNNNNNNNNNNNNNNNNNNNNNNNNNNNNNNNNNNNNNNNNNNNNNNNNNNNNNNNNNNNNNNNNNNNNNNNNNNNNNNNNNNNNNNNNNNNNNNNNNNNNNNNNNNNNNNNNNNNNNNNNNNNNNNNNNNNNNNNNNNNNNNNNNNNNNNNNNNNNNNNNNNNNNNNNNNNNNNNNNNNNNNNNNNNNNNNNNNNNNNNNNNNNNNNNNNNNNNNNNNNNNNNNNNNNNNNNNNNNNNNNNNNNNNNNNNNNNNNNNNNNNNNNNNNNNNNNNNNNNNNNNNNNNNNNNNNNNNNNNNNNNNNNNNNNNNNAAAAGGUAGGAAAGACAGACUCUCAUUCCAUUAAGAAUGUCUAUUUGAUAGAUGGCUUGAAAUAUAGCCUGAUAAGUGUGUCACACCUGUGUGACAGAGGUAACCUUGUGGAUUUCACUUCCAUAAAAUGUUUUGUGAUUAACCUUAAUACUGAUAAUUGUUCUGUAGGGAAGAAGAGUUAACAAUAUUUACAUUGUAGAUUUAUCGACUCUUUCUGAAAAUGAACUCAUUUGCUUGAGUGUGCUAAUUAAUGAUCCUCUCCUUUUGCACAAAAGACUUGCUCAUGCUAGUCUAAAAUAACUAAACAAAUUAGUUUCCAAGGACAUGGUGAUAGGAUUACCUAAUAUCAAGUUCAAAGAAGACAAAGUUUGUGAGUCAUGUGCAAGUGGGAAGCAGGUAAGAUCAUCCUUCAAACCUAAUAAAAUGGUAAGUACAUCUAAGACGUUGGAACUAGUUCAUAUGGAUCUCUGUGGUCCAAUGAGAGCCAUGAGCAGAGGUGGUAAAAGAUAUGGUAUGGUACUUGUUGAUGAUUAUUAUAAUUUACCUGGGUACUAUUUCUAACCUCUAAAGAUGAAACAUUUGAAAUGUUUACUGUUUUUGUUAGAAAACCCAGAAACAAUUAGGAAAUCAACUUGCAUCUAUUAGGUCAGAUCAUGGAACUGAAUUUGAAAAUGCAAAAAUUUCUGAAUUUUUGUGAUGAAAAUGGAAUAUAUCAUAAUUUCUCUGCCCUUAGGACUUCUCAACAAAAUGGGGUAGUUGAGAGGAAGAACAGGACCCUUGAGGAUAUAGCAAGGACCAUGUUACAUUCCAGUAAAACUACCUCAUAGCUUUUGGGAAGAGGCUAUAAACAUAGGUUGCUAUAUAAUUAAUAGAUACAUGACCAGACCUCUUAUAGAGAAAACUCCCUAUGAGUUAUUUAAAGGGAGAAAACCAAACAUACCCCAUCUUAGGGCUUUUAGUUGCAAGUGCUAUGUGCACAAUAAUGGCAAAGACUCUUUAGGUAAGUUUGAUCCCAGAAGUGAUGAGGGAGUAUUCUUGGAUAUUCUUCACAUAGCAAAACAUAUAAAGUGUUUAAUCAAAGAACUCUAUGUGUUUAAGAAAGUGUACAAGCUGUGUUUGAUGAAUCUAACACUCUUUAUGAGAGAUAGGAACAUGAAGAUGAAGUCAUUGGACUAGUGAGACAAUUGAUUGAAGUUACAGCACAAGUCAAGGAGGCAUCCAAUGAAGGACCAGGUGAUGGAACAUGUCCUUUCACCCAGGGCAACCUGAUAGGGGGAACCAAUCUGAGAGAAACUGUACAAAAUUCUUUGAAGGAUCUUGUACCUGAACUCGUUCCUCUACAGCAUAACAAUGAAGGAGAAGCUAGAAGAAAUAAGCUGGUCGGAAAUCUUACAAGUACCUGAGUUCUCACCCCAUUGAGAACAUAAUCAAUUAUCCUACAGCUGGAGUUAAAACUAGAUCACAACUGAGGAACAUGUGUGCAUUUAUGCUUUUUUGUCCCUGAUUGAACCUAAAAAUGUUAGUGAAGCUCUACAAGAUGCAGAUUGGAUCAAUGCUAUGCAAGAUGAGCUCAAUCAGUUUGAAAGAAGCUAGGUCUGGCACUUGGUUCCAAGACCUAAGGACAGGUCAGUCAUUGGGACAAAAUGGGUCUUCAGGAACAAGCUGGAUGAAGAUGGAACAAUUACAAGAAAGAAGGCAAGGCUGGUGGUUCAAGGUUAUAGUCAAGAGGAAGGCAUUGAUUAUGAUCAGACUUUUGCUCCAGUUGCUAGACUUAAAGAAACUAGACUAGUCAUAGCCUUUGUAGCACAUAUGGAAUUCACUCUUUAUCAAACGGAUGUCAAAAGUGCCUACCUAAAUGGCUAUCUCAAAGAAAAAGUGUUUGUGAAGCAACCUCCUAGAUUCGAAAGCAAAGAAUGCCCUGACCAUAUAUACAAGCUAGAUAAAGCUCUAUAUGGUCUCAAGCAGGCUCCAAGAGCUUGGUAUGAAAGAUUGUCAAUAUUCCUUCUAGAGCAUGGGUACAAAAGAGGUAAAAUUGACAGCACCUUGUUCCUAAGAGAAAAGGGUAAAGAUCUUCUUGUUUUACAAAUAUAUGUUGAUGAAAUAAUAUUUGGGGCCACUACAGAUAGGUUGAGUAAAUACUUUGCUAACAUAAUAGGGAGUGACUUUGAAAUGAGCAUGAUGGGAGAACUUAAUUUCUUCUUGGGACUACACAUUAAACAAAGUUCAGAUGGAAACCAUGAUCCAUCAGCAGAUGUACAUAAAGGAACUAAUCAAGAAGUUUAAAAUGGAAGAAUCCAAGGAAAUUGAUACACCUAUAGCAACUGGCACAAAACUAGAUAUUGAUGAACCAGGUUCAUCAGUUUAUCAAAAAUUGUAUAGGGGUAUGAUUGGUUCACUUUUAUAUCAUACUGCCAGCAGACCUGACAUUGUUUUCAGUGUAGGACUUUAUGCUCGUUUCCAGGAAAAUCCAAAAGAGUCACACUUGACAACUGUCAAAAGAAUAUUGAGAUACUUAAAGGGCACAACUGAUCUGUGUCUGUGGUAUCCAAAAGGUAGAAAUUUUAACUUAAUUGGAUAUGUUGAUGCUAACUAUGCAGGUUAUAUAGUGGAUAGGAAGAGCACCUCAGGUAUGGCACACUUCCAAGGAUCUUGUCUUGUAUCAUGGGCUACCAAAAAGCAAAAUUCAGUAGCACACUCUACUGCUGAAGCUUAAUAUAUUGAUGUUGCUUCAUGUUGUGCUCAAUUACUGUGGAUUAAGCAACAACUGGUAGACUUUGGAAUUGANNNNNNNNNNNNNNNNNNNNNNNNNNNNNNNNNNNNNNNNNCAACUGGUAGACUUUGGAAUUGAAGUAGGGUGCAUACCAAUAUUUUGUGAUAACACCAGUGCAAUCAGUAUGACAAAGAACCUUGUUCAUCACAAAACGACUAAGAACAUAGAUGUUAGACACCACUUCCUAAGUGAUAACUAUAAGAAAGGGCUGAUCUCCAUGGAAUUAUGUGCUACUGAUAAACAAAUAGCUGACAUCUUCACUAAGGCACUGAGUAGAGAAAAUUAUGAAAGGAACACGUAGGAGAUAGGGAUGAUUACGAUCACCUAAAAAGUCCAAUUCAGAAUGCACGGAAAAAAAAAUCUUUUUUGUUUGCUAGGAGUUCAUUAUUUUUGUGAAUAUUAGACUAAUUCCUACUCAGUCUCAUACUGAAAAUAGUAUACUCCUGUGACAUGUGUUUAUGUGACUCAUAAUCUCUUAUAAAUCUUCUAUUUUGACAUUUGAGGCAUAAUCAAGAGAAGUUUCACUUGAAGAACCUGGUUCAUCAUGUUAUGCUCAUGAGAAAGUUCAGGUAUGUUUCUAUUCUUUGCACAAUUAGAAAAUUUUAAUUUUCAACAUGAUCAAGAAUCCUAGAUAUACCAAACGUCCCAAAUUUCUAUCAGUUGGGGCUAAUUAAACUAUCUUCAUUGAAACUAGAAGUCUACAUAUAACGGAAUCCUUUCCUAAUUUUUUGCAAUCCUAAUGAAUCACUAAGGCGACAGGAAUUCCUAUUUGAUUAGACUUCUACUAACUUCUGAAAAAGGCUGCUAUCUCUGAAAUAAUCAUUACCUCUUUAAAAGCCCUCUAAAUCACUUCAUAACCGUCACCCCAUUAUACAAGCUUCUGAUCACCUCCUUCAUCUCAAAAAACUCCAAAACUCCCAAAAAUUCUCCUAAGCUCUCCAGAAAUUCAAAAACAUGACAAAUCCCCAAGAUAUCCUGGAACUACACAUCCUGUUUCACAUACUUCCAUCCCAUCUGCUUCACCUACUAUAGAAACCCCAAAACCUAGAUUCUGUCGCCAGAAAAUGCUGGCAAGAAACACUGUAGCUACUGAUUCCCUUCGGAAGUCCUUGAAUGCAAAACUACAAUCCAGUAAAAGGAAACAAGUCUCAGCAACAGAGAAAAAUUCAAACUAUGACUCUGAUGAUUUCCUCUCUACCAAUGAGGGAGAUGAACCUGGGUCUUCUACACUGUCACACGUCAAGAAACCCCAAAAGUGGUAAAUACUUGCUUUGUUCCUGUUGAUGUAGUUCAAAAGAUAGAGAAUAGGUUUGUUCUGAUAGGGGAUGCAAAAGAUGUGUCUUAGACUGAUUCUACCAAAUUGAAGAAGCAAAGGAGGAAAGAGAUGUUAUCUAUUUGUGGAAAUAGGGAAGAAGGGGUCUCUAAGUCAGGGGGAAGUAAAUCAAGGGAGGUUGCUAAAGGGUUAGUUGAUUUAAGCAAACAACCUGUAGAGGAGACUUUGGUUGAGAUGUUAAAAAAAGUUGGGGCAAGCUAUGACCCCAAGAAACGCAAGGCCUCCUCACAAAGGACCCCAUUGCAUCCAAACCACCAAGAAAACCUAACCUUCAUCACCCAAGUCUGCUCAUAGGGUUAGAACAGCCAUAAGUAAGGUUAGAGAAAGUGAGGCUGAGUUGAAGAAAGCCUUAGAGGAGAGUAAGAGAAAGAGAAAAGAAAAGGGGAAAAGGAAGGUAGAUGAAAGUUCUGCAGUUGCAGCUGAACAUGAGGAAAAGGAGAUGGAACUGGUCCAUAAAGAAAGAAAUACUACUGUGGAGGUUCCAAUUGCCAAACCAAAGGGAGCUGGAAUUUCCUCCAAGAAACCCUCAAAGCCAGUACUUGCUGAAUCCUCUCUUGCCAAGAGAACUAGGUCUGCCUCUAAAGGAAAGCAAAUUAAAACGGCUGAAAAAAAAAAGAAGAUGAGAAUGAAGAAGAAGGAGAUGGAUCUAAAAGGGAACAGGAUAGGUAUGCUAAAUUUGGCAAGAGAAAGAUCUUGAAGGGGAAAUUGUCGAAAGACCUAGAGGAGCCAGGCAUGAUGAGACUUUUGACAGCACUAGAAGCACAAAGCUGGAAGGGCAUGGUCUUUCAGAUGAAUGGGGAAUUGGUCAAGAAAGAAAUUGUUGAGUUCAUGGCCAAUGGAACAGUAAAGAAAUGGUUUGAUGACGAGCACUUUGAAGGGAGUGAAAGUCAAGUUCAAUGCUGCUAAACUGGGCAAAAUUCUGGACAUCCCUUGUGAAAGGUAUGAUGACUACACAAGGCAAAGGUGGCAUUGUCUGGAUGGGUUGCCCUCUGAUCUGCAAAUUACCAGAAAUUUCUAUAACACUCAAAGAUAUGAGGAGGUUCCUGAAGCGAGGGCAAUUCAUAAGAGUGAAAUGAGGCCAGAGCACAAAGUGCUUUUUGAAUUUGUAAACAAAUGCCUUCUGCCCAGGAAGGAGAGAAGGCAUACAGCAAAUUGUAUGGAUCUAGUGCUCAUGCAAUGUAUGAAUGAAGGCAAGCAGAUCAAUUGGCCUGCCUUCAUUGUAAAGCUGCUAGAAAAGGUGAUCAAUGGAUCCAAGGCUCAUGGCAUUCCCUAUGGUUAUAUAUUGGCAACUGUGCUUGAACAACUUGAUGUUCCCUUGACAAAGUGGGAAAUGGCUUCCAGCAAAGAGCACUUUGGGAUCAAAACUCUUCAAGCAUGUGAUUAUAUGCUCAGUUCAGCCCCUGUUGAACCUGGUUCAUCUGCUAAAACUCCUAUGAACAAGGUUAGAGCCCUGGUUCAGGAGGUUGAGACUAAGGACGCUGAAAUAGCAAGGCUCAAUGCUAGACUAAGUUCAGCCCCUAUUGAACAUGGUUCAUCUACUAAGACUCCUGUGAACAACAAGGCCAGAGCCUUGGUUCAGGAGGUUGGGACUAAGGAAGCUGAAAUAGCAAGGGUCAAUGCUAGAAUUGCUGAUUUGGAGAGAAAAAGGAAUGGGCUGAGAGCUGAACUUGCCAAAGAAAAGGACAAAAAUGAACGCAUGCUCCAGCAAAUGUUAAAUCUGCUACAAGCCCGACCCUCCAGCACUUCCAAGUCUUAGGUGUCCUGUCCUUAGUGUCCAGUCUAGUAACCCUUCAGUUUCCAGUUUCCAAGUUUAGGAAGUUCUUGUUCUGUUCUUGUUCUGUUUUUUGCUCAUGGUUGGAUAUUUUGUUCUUCUUAUUUAUGAACUGCAUUUUAGAAGCACCCCUUUAAUCAAUGAAUGCAGCUUUUCUUGUUCGUGUUGAAUUUGUUUUGAAUAGUAAUUUUAAGCUGAAUUGUGAUUAAUCAAGGAUUCACAUUAGUUGUGAAACUUUUCGAUGAUGUCAAAAGGGGAAAGAUAUUGUACUUAUGAUUAAAUUCAUUAUCUGAACUAGUGAUGUUUAUGACCUAACUUAUAUAUGGCCCUUUAUAACAAAUUCGAAUUUUCUGAGCGUUGAUAUUUCAGCUGAGAUUCACAGGUUUUCUGAUCUCUAAAAGCACAGAGUUUGUCAUCAUAAAAAAAUGGGAAUUUGUUGGCCCAAGUUCAGUUGAAGUAUUGAAGAUUGACAAAUGAACUCAGGGAAGGACCUGGUCCAUCCUGGAAGACACAGUUAGUCAUAGUCAUUGCACAUGGAACACACGUGAGGAAGAUAUGUAUUGAAGACUAUGCAGCAAAUAUCUUCUUAACGGAAUCGAAAAUGUUGCAUUGAUUUCAAAGGAGGACAGUCUUCCUAUGACAAGAGAACACAAUCCUAAGCUAGGAUAAGGAUGGGAGUUUGUAUUAGUUAAGGACUCAAAUGGACUAAGGAUAGCAUUAGAGUCUCGAUCAAACUCUAACUGUUAUUCUAUUAAAUAACCAAGUUGUUUUCUUUUGCAGGUAUGCACAUACGCAUAAGUUAAGCAUAUUUGGGAGCAAAAAGAGUGAAUCUAUUUUUGCAAGCAACAUAUGCAAGAUACAGGUGUGCACGCCUAAAGCUACAUGAACAAAGAGAGAAGAACCAACGAAAGUUAAGCAUAUUUGAGAGCAAAACGAGCGAGACUGUUUUUGCAAGUAACACAUGUAAGAUACAAGUGUUCACGCCUAAAGCUUCAUGAACUAAGAGAGAAGAACCAGUUCCAUCUGUGUGUUUAUUUCUAGUUCAAUUGUAGUAGGNNNNNNNNNNNNNNNNNNNNNNNNNNNNNNNNNNNNNNNNNNNNNNNNNNNNNUCAAUUGUAGUAGGUUUUCAUAUUGUACCUUUCAGCUUUACUAGAAGCAAUUGUAUUAGGUACCUUGUGUAAUCAAGUUAGAGUUAACUUGAUAGUGUUGCAGCAGCUGGUUGUGUUCCACAUAAGGGUGUCAACCGGGCCGGGUCGGACAGGGACCGGACCGGUAUAAACCGGGACCAGACCGGCUCGGCUACUAAGGGGCCGGGUGGGCUGCGUUCGAGGGGGGUUGGUCCGUUUGGGAUUUUUAGGGUUGGAGCCGGCCCGGUUGUACUAAAUAGUGCCUUGAACCGGUUGGACCGGCCCGGUUCAACUGUGAAGAUAACAUGAAUAUACCAUAGAUAUCCCAUCCAUAUAUCGUGAAUAUACUAUGCAUAUACUAUAAAUAUACUCCAAAUAUACAAUGAAUAUACCAAUUAUUGUAUACUAAUUAACAUAAUUUAAAAUUUUUAGAAUUUAACAUAUAGUGUUUAUAUAUUGGGUAUAAACUAUAAAACUAUAAAUGCUCAAAACAUAGAACAUGAUGGUAACGUAUUAUAUUUAAAAUAUGCUAUAAAUUCUACUUGCAGAAGCAAAAGACUUGCAAUAAGUGAAAUUUUUUUCCAUCUAACUUGUAUUCAUUCAAUUAUUACAAAGUAUUAAUAUAACUUAAUAGAUAUACUACACAUAAAUCCAAAAAAAAUGAAAAUAUACUAAACCCGGCCCGGCCCGGCCCCCUUCAACCUGUAACCCGUAUGGUUCAAUUUUAACCCCAAAUUAACCCGGCCCGCUACAAACCCGUGACUGUGCAACCCGGACCGGCCCGGACCGGAACCCGGACGGGUCGAAAAACUUCGGACCCGGACCGGCCCGAUUGACCCGUUUAACACCCUUGGUUCCACUUCCACAAUAGGAUUAUAGUUUAAUCCUUAGGUUUACAAAGAGUCUUUGUAAAUGUUGUUUGGCUUAUUGAUAUUUAGUGGAGUUUGGGAAAAUCCUACUGAGUAGUAGGUCGUGGUUUUAUCACCUUUUGAGCCAGGUGUUUUCCACGAAAAAUAUCUAUGCACUUUACAUUAAGUUUUUAUUAUUUCGCAAACUGCAGUAGUUAGAACACUUAGAAGUACCAGGUUCUUCUAAUGCGAAAAUUAGGCACCACACAAAUCACCCCCCCUGUGUGGUAUUGACGUUUAUCGGGCGUGCUAGAAACUAGAGGUGCAUAAUAAGGCUCCUAAGGUAUAGGAGGAUAUGGAGCACUGUAUUGAAGAGUCUUGUGUGGUAUUGACGUUUAUUAAAUUCAAUGAGUAAACGGAUUCGAAUUUGGAUUGUUAUUAUUCGAUUAGCUUUGUUAGGUGAUAUUAGACUUAGGAGUGUCUGCGGAAUGUAAUUAGCGGUCCAUGGUAGAAUUAGGCUUGGAUUGGCGAGAGUUGGAAGUUUAGAAGUUCAUAGGCUUGAAUGAGAAGCUGAUUAGGUAUUUUGGUGUUAUUUUGGAUGUUCCGUAGGAUCGGCGAAGUACGGAUAAUGAUAUAUGAGUUUUUGAAAUUUUUGGUUGAGGUUUCGAGGGCCUCGGGUGAAUUUUGGAUAGCUUCGGGUUGUGUUGCGCUCGUUUUUUUAUGUUUCCAUACUGUUUCUUCAAGCAUAAAUGAUAUCAUAUUGAACAAAUUAGCUCUGAUAUCCUUUUUGAUUGAUGUUUUAGGUCCGUAUCGUAAUUAUGGACCCGUAGCUAAAAGAAUCAUUGAAUUUGGACAUCAUAUGAAGAUUUUAUGAUCAUUUUACUAAGACUUAGGUUGCCAGAUUUUUCAGAUUAAUUACGAAAUUGUCACUAGCAGCCUCUUUAAAAAUAUUCAUUAUUUGCAAAUAUUUAAACCUACAUAUCUCAUUCAUUAUAAGGUCAAACUGGGUGAUUCAAAAGCCUAAAUUGACUAUAAUUUCACAAAAAAUCCAUUGGAGGAAUAAAAUAUGAGUUUCGAGGUUGUUUGGCAUGAGAAACGAGGCAGCAUAGUUGGAAGGAAAAUUAUAUAAACCUAGGAUUUUUUCAUCAUAUUUUGAGUUGGGGAGCUCGGAUUUGGUGGAUUUUGGAGGCAAUUUUCACCAUAUUAAUUGGGAUAAGUGUUCUCUACUCGAGUUUGGUUAUGUUUCAUGAAUCCAUCUUCGUCUUUGGGAUUUGAUUGAUAAUUUCAACGCGAAAUUGAGGGAAUUAGGGUUUGAGUUUUGGAGAGUUCUAGUUGAGGAUUUGAGGGACCAAACAGACCCCGAUUUUGAUAAAUUUUAUAUGGUUAGACUAGGGAGAGAACAAGAUUUAUGAUUCUUCCAUUUAUGACUGAUUUUGAGACAUGGUCCCGGGGGCCAGAUUUUGGCCGAUUUCGAAUUAUUUUUAUAUUUUGUAGCUUUUGUUGUGGAAUACGAUUCAUUAGACUAUGUUGAUAGUAGUAAUAUGAUUAUGGUUAGAUUCAGAGCUUUUGGAGACCUAGUCUAGAGACGAGGGCAUCCCGGAGUAAGAUUUUAUACGGUUGAGGUAAGUAACAGUUUAAACUCUGGCUUUGAGGGUAUAAACCCGGAGAAAGUAAUAUCAUGUGAUUGCUUGGUGGUGAUACCGAUGCUAGGUGACUGGCGUGUGGGUUUGCACCAUGAGGGAUUGUGACUUGGUCCGUCCCAUGAGGCCGUGGGCUUAAUGGUUGUUAUCUGUAGUUAUAUGUUUGCUUGUUGUUGAACUUGUUACCUUCAUGUUAGAGAUCAUGCUUAGGCUUGUUAGAUAAUAUGCUUAACGCUAGAGGGGGGGUGAAUAGCGUUAUAACAAAAAUUAGCGUAAACUUGCAGAAUUUAAAAAUUGCAGGAAAUAAAUAAGUGCGAUAAGUAAAUAAAUUAGAACAAACGCACCAAUGUAUCCUGGNNNNNNNNNNNNNNNNNNNNNNNNNNNNNNNNNNNNNNNNNNNNNNNNNNNNNNNNNNNNNNNNNNNNNNNNNNNNNNNNNNNNNNNNNNNNNNNNNNNNNNNNNNNNNNNNNNNNNNNNNNNNNNNNNNNNNNNNNNNNNNNNNNNNNNNNNNNNNNNNNNNNNNNNNNNNNNNNNNNNNNNNNNNNNNNNNNNNNNNNNNNNNNNNNNNNNNNNNNNNNNNNNNNNNNNNNNNNNNNNNNNNNNNNNNNNNNNNNNNNNNNNNNNNNNNNNNNNNNNNNNNNNNNNNNNNNNNNNNNNNNNNNNNNNNNNNNNNNNNNNNNNNNNNNNNNNNNNNNNNNNNNNNNNNNNNNNNNNNNNNNNNNNNNNNNNNNNNNNNNNNNNNNNNNNNNNNNNNNNNNNNNNNNNNNNNNNNNNNNNNNNNNNNNNNNNNNNNNNNNNNNNNNNNNNNNNNNNNNNNNNNNNNNNNNNNNNNNNNNNNNNNNNNNNNNNNNNNNNNNNNNNNNNNNNNNNNNNNNNNNNNNNNNNNNNNNNNNNNNNNNNNNNNNNNNNNNNNNNNNNNNNNNNNNNNNNNNNNNNNNNNNNNNNNNNNNNNNNNNNNNNNNNNNNNNNNNNNNNNNNNNNNNNNNNNNNNNNNNNNNNNNNNNNNNNNNNNNNNNNNNNNNNNNNNNNNNNNNNNNNNNNNNNNNNNNNNNNNNNNNNNNNNNNNNNNNNNNNNNNNNNNNNNNNNNNNNNNNNNNNNNNNNNNNNNNNNNNNNNNNNNNNNNNNNNNNNNNNNNNNNNNNNNNNNNNNNNNNNNNNNNNNNNNNNNNNNNNNNNNNNNNNNNNNNNNNNNNNNNNNNNNNNNNNNNNNNNNNNNNNNNNNNNNNNNNNNNNNNNNNNNNNNNNNNNNNNNNNNNNNNNNNNNNNNNNNNNNNNNNNNNNNNNNNNNNNNNNNNNNNNNNNNNNNNNNNNNNNNNNNNNNNNNNNNNNNNNNNNNNNNNNNNNNNNNNNNNNNNNNNNNNNNNNNNNNNNNNNNNNNNNNNNNNNNNNNNNNNNNNNNNNNNNNNNNNNNNNNNNNNNNNNNNNNNNNNNNNNNNNNNNNNNNNNNNNNNNNNNNNNNNNNNNNNNNNNNNNNNNNNNNNNNNNNNNNNNNNNNNNNNNNNNNNNNNNNNNNNNNNNNNNNNNNNNNNNNNNNNNNNNNNNNNNNNNNNNNNNNNNNNNNNNNNNNNNNNNNNNNNNNNNNNNNNNNNNNNNNNNNNNNNNNNNNNNNNNNNNNNNNNNNNNNNNNNNNNNNNNNNNNNNNNNNNNNNNNNNNNNNNNNNNNNNNNNNNNNNNNNNNNNNNNNNNNNNNNNNNNNNNNNNNNNNNNNNNNNNNNNNNNNNNNNNNNNNNNNNNNNNNNNNNNNNNNNNNNNNNNNNNNNNNNNNNNNNNNNNNNNNNNNNNNNNNNNNNNNNNNNNNNNNNNNNNNNNNNNNNNNNNNNNNNNNNNNNNNNNNNNNNNNNNNNNNNNNNNNNNNNNNNNNNNNNNNNNNNNNNNNNNNNNNNNNNNNNNNNNNNNNNNNNNNNNNNNNNNNNNNNNNNNNNNNNNNNNNNNNNNNNNNNNNNNNNNNNNNNNNNNNNNNNNNNNNNNNNNNNNNNNNNNNNNNNNNNNNNNNNNNNNNNNNNNNNNNNNNNNNNNNNNNNNNNNNNNNNNNNNNNNNNNNNNNNNNNNNNNNNNNNNNNNNNNNNNNNNNNNNNNNNNNNNNNNNNNNNNNNNNNNNNNNNNNNNNNNNNNNNNNNNNNNNNNNNNNNNNNNNNNNNNNNNNNNNNNNNNNNNNNNNNNNNNNNNNNNNNNNNNNNNNNNNNNNNNNNNNNNNNNNNNNNNNNNNNNNNNNNNNNNNNNNNNNNNNNNNNNNGUCAUAUGUCAAUUUGCGCAUAGUUUGUCAUUCAUCAAAACCUACAAAUAUGAACACACGUUUAGUAUAAUGCCUUGAGAACGUGUUUCCAAUAAGGCUUUAUUCAUUCUCACGUUAUUUGUACGCAGUCAAAGAAACUAUUGGAUAUUUUUACCUCAGUCUUUAUUAAUUGGUAAUAUGUUGUGAUACACUAUGUCGGUUGUGUCCCCUUAUUUGUUGAUGAUGGUGAGGCUAGUGAGGUACAUGAUUGAGUGAGGACGAGGGCCUGGUUAUGAGGAUAUUAAUACCAUAGCACGUGAGUUAUCCGCGUAGAACUUGAGUUAACCGUGCGGUUCAGGUACUGAUACUAUAGCGCAUGAGUUGUCUGCGUAGCACGUGAGUUGACCGUGCGGAUCCAGGUAUUGAUAUAGUAGCACGUGAGUUAUCCAUUCUUAGAGCUUGGGCUUUGGGACCCCAUCCGAAGUCUGUACACACCCCCAGUGAGUGCAGAAUGUUGGGUGUAUGGACUACUGAGUACUGAGUGAUGUAGUGACAUUGCUUUGAGGUUGCAUUUCCUUUUGUUGUUGCUGCAUUUACCUAUUAACUUCUUCGUUGUAUUUGCUGGUUUUAUGGUAUUCAUUUAUUUAUUCAUCUUUAUUAUAAAUUAUAAAAAUAAAUAAUUGGACAGUUUUACUUAGGUCGUCACUACUACUCAGUUCCUUAGUUAUUUUUGUUACUACUGAGGUAGUUGUACUCAUACUACUCCUCUCACUUUAUGUGCAGAUUCAGGUGAGUUAGAGCGCAUCUAUUGUUGAGUUCAUGUCGGCUAUCUGUGGCGAUUUCAAGGUAGUUGUCAGUAUCAGCAGGACCUUGUUACUCCUUCUAAAUUUUAUGGACAGUUAGAUAGUUUAUAUAUAUUAGUUUGUAGUUUUAGAGCUCAUGACUUAGUGGCACCCCACCCUGAUGUUUGGGAAUCGUUUUUGUAUUUUGAAUUAAUUAUAUUUAGAUUUGGUUUAGUUUAUCAGGAAUUAAAUUAUUGAAAAUAUUUUAUUAAAUUCUUAUAAUCAAACUAGUAGUAAUAUUUUGGGAAUAGACUUGCCUUGUAGCACGAUAGACGCCAUCAAGAUCAUAAUUACAUUUUGGGUCGUGAAAAGUUGGUAUCAGCGCCAGGUUACAUAGGUGUCACAAGUCAUGAGCGGAUUUAGUAGAAUUUUAUGGAUCAGUACGGAGACGUCUGUACUUAUCUUCGAGAGGCUGUAGAUCCUGUAAAAAACUUCACCUUCUUGAAUUUUUAUCGUACGGUGUUGAUUCAGCUUGAAGUGUAACUAUUUGAAUUUCUUACAUGAACGCUCGGUAUUAGUUGUGCAUCGAUAGAUUGUGAUUCCCGUGAUGGGUACAUGAUAAGUAUGAUAUGACCGCGAGAUGAGUUCAUAUGAUUUGAAUGUGACUAGAAGGUAUUGCUGAAGGUUUCACAAAUUUGAGAUCCAGUUAUGUUUUUAGACUCGUUCGAGGACGAAUGUUUGUUUAAGAGGGGGGAUGUAAUGACCCGACCUGUUCUUUUGAGAGUUAUAGCCCCAUUUCCCACAUCUAUGCUUAUUUAUGUGUUGUUUAACUAUAUUCAGUUGUAUCGGGUUGGUAUGUUUGGGUUCAGAGUAGUUUUGGAGUGAAAUGAACAUUUAGUCUCUUAGUUAGGAAGCUAAGUUAGAAAAGUCAAUUGGAAGCUGACUUAUGAGUAAACGAUUCGGAUUUGGAUUUUUAUGAUUUGGUUAGCUUCGUUAGGUGAUUUUAGACUUAGGAAUGUCUCCGGAAUGUAAUUGGGGGUCCAUGGUAGAAUUAGGCUUGGAUUGGCGAAAGUUGGAAGUUUAGAAGAUCUUAGGCUUGAAUUCGAGGCUGAUUUGGUAUUUUGGUGUUGUUUUGGAUGUUCCGGAGGUUCGACUAAGUUCAUAUAGUGAUAUAUGAGUUUUUGGAAUUUUUGGUUGAGGUUCCGAGGGUCUCGGGAUAGCUUCGGGUUGUGUUGCGCUCGUUUUUCUUAUGUUUUGAUACCAUUUCUUCAAGCAUAAAUGAUAUCAUAUUGAACAAAUGAGCUCUGAUUUCCUUUUUGAUUAAAGCUCUCAUGACCCAAAUUUCCCACCACCAGGGUCAUGAUGGCGCCUACUAUCGGAGCUAGGCAAGCCAACCUUUUUAAACAUUUCACAAGCUUUAGUCUAAAAUAGUAUAAUAAACUGAAAUAAAUAAUUAGAAUAUGCGGAAGACUUUCAACAAACACAAUAGAAAGUGUGGAAGUUUAUAACAUGUCUCUACCCAGUAUUUGGUGUCACUACUCACGAACUGCUAAGAAUUUACUAAACAUAAUCGUUCGAAAGAAAUAUAAAACUGUUUUUCUCGAAUACAUGAGAUAACCGAAUGAAUAAAAAGAUAGAGGAGACAUCGGGCCCCGCGGAUGCCUGCAAGGCUACCUCGGAGUCUCGCUGAGUGGAAUGCCAACACUCGUACUACUGCUGCUACUGCUACCCGAAACCUGUAUCUGCACAAAGAGCACAGAGUGCAGAAUUGUCAUAACCGACCCCAUGUGCUGGUAAGUUCCUGGCCUAACUCCGGCGAGGUAGUGUCGAGGCUAGACACGACCUACCAUAAAUAACCUGUGCAAAUAUAAUAUACAAGUACGAGAAGAACAAUAACAAAGCAAUACAAAGUAAAGUUGGGAGAGAACAUGCUAGCGGGGAGUACUAGAUGAAGAUGGAACAGUAGAAACAACAACAGAUCUACUCCAGGUUUCAUGAUACAUAUGUUUACAGUGGACGACGCACCACACGAUCCAAUAAUACAUAUCAUAAGUGGACGGCGCACCACACCAUCCUAUGAUGUACAACAUAAUUGGAUGGUGCGCCACACGAUCCCGUAGUGUAGUGUAUAAGUAGACGGCGCACAACACGAUCCAUUUUCAUAUAAUACGUGGUAGGCGUACCACUCGCUCCCGAUCAUAAUAUAUUGUGAUCGACGUGCCACAUGAUCCCAAUCAUAACAUCUCAUGGUCAGCGUGCCACACGAUCCCAAUCAUAACAUCUCUGGUUGACGUGCCACACUAUCCCAAUCAUAAUAUCUCAUGGUCGGCAUGCCACACGAUCCCAAUCAUAAUAUCUCGUGGUCGGCGUGCCACACGAUCCCAAUCAUAAUAUCUCGUAGUUGGCGUGCCACACGAUCCCAAUCAUAAUAUCUCUCAAUACAAACACAAGGUAUUCCCAACAAGGAAGGAAAAUAUAUUAUAAUAAACUAUCCCGGCAAGGGAGGUCCAACUAUAACCACACGCAUUCGAUUUCUACUUAAAACGACAAAAUCCAUACUUGGUCUCAAUAAUUACUGGCAGAACAUUAAAUAUUUCAACCAUUUCCUCAUAACAACGAUUAAGAAUUCGAUAAGUUAAUAAUUUACGACUCACGAUCAUCCUCAACACCAGCGUAUAGAUACUCGUCACCAUGCAUAUACACCAUACUCGAUCAUUUAGCAAAUAGCAAUCAAAAUACUCUAAUCAUAUUCCCUCAAGCCAAAGUUAGAUCAAACACUUACCUCGGUCGGAAAUUAGCAAUCAAGCCUCUAACAUCGCUUUUCCUCUAGGAUCCGACUCCGAAACAACAAUAUCUAGCCAUAAUUAGUUCAAUAUUAUCAACAAUAGCUCAAACACACCAUUCCAUAGCUUAGAAAUGAAUUUCCUACCUUUCUUCCAAAAAUACCAAAAUCCGACACCGGGCCCACAUGGUCCAAACUCGAGGCUCGGACCAAAACCCAAUCACCCAUAACCCCACGAGUUCAAAUAUGUAAUUUAUUUUAAGAUUCGACUCCAAAUUGAGGUUGAACCACCCAAAAUUCCCAAAAACCUAACUCUACCCAAAAGCCCAAAUUUCUACCUUGAUUUCAUGUUUUUAGGCUAGGAUUUUUGUGAUUAGAUGAUGAAAUAGUGAGGAAACGAUGUUAAGAUUACUUACCCGAAGAGUUAUGGAGGAAGGGAAGCUUGAGACUCUUCAAUGGAGGGCGAAGAAGAAGGGUUCGUGAGCAAAGAGUGUGAAAAUCCCGUCAGUGUUCUGUUUUUAGGAUUUUAAAAUCACUAGGUUAAAAUGCCCUAUGCGAUCGCAGAGCUAGGGAUGCGAUCGCAUAGAGUAAGAGAAACUGGUCACUGCGAUCGCAUAAGGGGAGAUGUGAUCGCAUAGAGCAAAAAUGGGGCUGAAGGUCCUAGGCUGGUUUGUGUUGUGCGAUCGCAGGAUUAGGUGUGCGUUCGCACUGAAGGAACUGGCCAGGCCAUGCGAUCGCGUGAGAAACAAGGCAACCGCAUUGAACAAAAAAAUAGGGUGUCUUCAACGGACUGUAUGCGAUGGCAGACACACCUAUGCGAUCGCAGAGAGGAAAAGUUCUGUGUAAAAAUGCAGCAAAUCUGCCAGUUUUCCUAAGUCCAAAACACCCUGAACCACCCCCGAAAUAACUCCCGAGCCCUCGGCUUUCUUUUCGAGCCAUCAAUAACUGCCGGAUUUCAACGGGUCCGGCUAUCCUUUCACCGGUCGGUCAGUUAUGGAAGACUCUGCUAGGUAGAAGCCUGAAUAUCAUUAAGAAUAUCUUACCAUUUUUUAUUUCUGUGUGUCUUUUAAAAAAAAGAAGCUAGCAUCUGUCUAUUGAUAGAGCUUUCACGUCUGCGCAUAGAAUUAUUUUUUUACCCUUCCAUUCUGUUCUUACGGUAGUUGGGUCGGAAUUUAUGUGAUGAGGGCUCCCAACCAAACACACACGCUAGCUCUAUAUCAUCCUACGAACCUGCUCGGACAAUCAAAUCGCCAAAAUAACAUCAACAUCAAAGAAUCAACCUCCAAAACUCAUAAUUUCAUUUCAAAGUUCAUAACUUCCAAAUUUUCCUUAGUCGAGCGAUCAAAUCGCCAAAAUAACAUCAAAUUCAUUGAAUUAAAACCCAAAAUCAUCAUUUCCCAUUUCAAAGUUCAUAAACCUUAACUUUAAAUAUUUAGGUCCGAAACACGUCAAACGACGUCCAAUUUCAACAAAAUUUCACAGAAAGCGCUUAACGCUCAUUUAAGACCUGUACUAGGCGUCGGAACCAAAAUACGAGCCCGAUACCAUUAUUUUCUAACUCAUUUUCAGUUUAAUUUUUCAUAUCAUUUUCGAUAAACAAUUUUUUUCAAAAAGUCCGUACUCAUGCCUGGGACCUCGGAUUUUGAUUCCGAGAGUACGCCCGGGUCCCUAUUUUCCUACGGACCCUCCAGGAUCGUCACAUCACAGGUCCGUACCCGUUUACCGAAAAUGCUGACCAAAGUCAACUAUAUCAAUAUUAUUAUCACAAUUUAUAGUUUUUAACACGAAGUUCAUAUAUUUCCACAUAAAAAAAUUUCGACUUCGCGCCCGAACUAUGCACGCAAAUCGAGGUGACCAGAUAAGAGGUUUUCAAGGCCUCGGAUGGACGGAGAAAGUAAUAAUUACGGUGAUGAUCCCUUUGGGUCGUCAAAGAAGAGUUAGGUCUGUAUCGUAAUUAUGGACCCGUAGCAAAAAGAAUCAUCGAAUUUGGAUAUCGUAUGAGGAUUUUAUGAUCAUGUUACUAAGAAUUAGGUGCCAGAUUUUUCAGAUUAAUUACGAAAUUUCCACUAAUAGCGUAUAAUCUACACUAUUUGCAAAUAUUAAAACCUACAUAUCUCAUUCAUUAUAAGGUCAAUUGAGUGAUUCAAAAGCCUAACUUGGCUAAAAUUUAACAAGGAAUCCAUUGAGGGCAUAAAAUAUGAGUUUCAGGAUUGUUUGGCAUGAGAAAAGAGGUAAAUAUCUGGAAGAAAAAUAUGUCGAACUAGGGUUUUUUCAUUCGAUCAUAUUUUGAGUUUGGGAGCUCGAAUUUGGGAGAUUUUUGAGGUGAUUUCACCAUAUGAAUUGGGGUAAAUGUUCUCUACUCGAUUUUGGUUAUGUUUCAUGAAUCCAUCUUCAUUUUUGGGAUUUGAUUGAUAAUUUCAAAGUGAAAUUGAAGGAGUUAUGUUUGAGUUUUAGAGAGUUUUAAUUGAGAAUUUGAGGGACCAAACGGAGUCCGAUUUUGAUAAAUUUUAUAUGGUUAGACUCGGGAGAGAAUGAGAUUUAUGAUUUUGCCAUUUUUGACUGAUUUUGAGACAUGGGCAUAGGGGCCGGAUUUUGGCCGAUUUCGGAUUAUUUUUAUAUUUUGUAGUUUUUAUUGUGGAAUUCGAUCCUUUAGAAUAUAUUGAUAGUAGUAAUCUGAUUAUGGUUAGAUUUAGAACUUUUGGAGAUCGAGUCGAGAGACGAGGGUGUCACGACCCAAACCUGAUCGUGAUGGCACCCAACCAUAACGCUAGGCAAACCUGACCAACAAUCGCUCUCAUUUCGAUAAUAAAUCUCAAAACCGAGAAUAAUAAUCCAAUAAUGUUAAUAGAAUAAUAUGGAAAGAUACGAAAACCGAGAAACACUCCCAUAAGAUCUAGGGUCAUGAGUCUAGAGCCUCUAAAACAGCUGGACAAUAAUAUCUUAAUGACAAUAUAUAAGUCUGGAAAUGUAUAUGAUAAUAAUAAACUAAAAUAGGAAGAGUAGUCAGGACCUGCAAACAUCAAGCAGCUACCUCAACAACUCUGAGCAAUCUAUGGAGAUAACGACUCAUCAGCUAAGCCUCCGGUAUACCUGAAUCUACACACAAGAUGCAGGGAGUAGGGGUGAGUACUACCGACUCAGUGAGUAAUAAGCAUAUAAAAUUAAGACACUCCCAAAAGAUCUGGGGUCACGAGUCUAGAGCCUCUAGAACAAACUGGUUAAUAAUAUCUGAACGAAAAUACACAAGUCUGGAAAUGUAUAUAUAUAAAUAAAACGGAAAAUAGUAGGAGUAGUCAGGUCCUGCGAACGUCAAGUAGCUACCUCAACAACUGUCAUAAGCUCUGGAGACAACGACUGGUCAGCUAAGCCUUCGGUGCACCUGAAUCUGCACACAAGGUGCAGAGAGUAGGGGUGAGUACUACCAACUCAGUGAGUAAUAAGAAUAUAAAAUGUCUGAAGAUAAGAAUCCAUAAAAUGCCACAAAGUAAAGUUAAAACUAACAGUCCGACACCUUAACUACGAACUAACAACAAAGCAAUAUCAAAUAUAUCAAACAAAUAUCAUCCAAAGAUGCAAUGCACAUGAAUCCGCUGCGCUGUAUCACCCGAUCCGUUAAACGUCGACUGUGUUCACUGGGGGUGUGUACAGACUCCGGAGGAGCUCCUUCAGCCCAAGCGCAAUAUCAUCAUAUCACUGUUGCGGCAUGCAGCCCGACCCAUACUCAGUCCACAUUAUGCAUAUGAGCCACAUAAAAGAUUCAAUUUAUUUUCCAAUUCCCAAUUAUUAAGAAUAAUAUAAUUUAAUUAUUUAGUUUCAGGAAAAGUGACUUAGCAUUUCAUAACAGUGAGCAGACAUAGGACUGAGAUCAAUGAUUAUACGAAUCAUGCAAUCACAAUGAUAUUCAUCCUAGACGGAUGCUGCAAAUUGGCACAAGGCCCCAAUAUGGCAAUAAGACCAAUUUUCAACAAUACAAUAUGUGUAUCAGCCGCCCAUAAAUUAUAUUUAGCACUCGGGAUGAACCAAAUCACAAACCCCAAUCAUAUAAUCCUGCACAUGCCAUGGGGUGAAAGUCAUGCCCUAACAUAGAGUCACGAUGUGAUAAAUCGGGGUUUCAAACCCUCAAGCCAUCAUCUAUACAAAAUAAUCACCUCUAACCGGCCGUAGACUGGUCCGCAAUGCCUUUUCCUUUUGUAUCGACCUCUUCGCGCGUUGAAUCUAGUCAAAAUCACAACAAAUACAUAAAUAUGGGUUAAAGAAACAUAACCCAAUUGAAAUUACUCGAAAAACACUAGAAACACGAAGUUGGUAAAACCCGAGCCCUGGGCUCAUGUCAAAAAUUUAUGAAAGUCACAUCAAUGGAUUCCUCGUCUUUCCACGAGUCCGUACAUGUAAUUUUUAUCAAAAUCGGAGUUCGUUUACCCCUCCAAAACUCGUGUUUAAACUCUCUUGGGUUUAAAGCCCUAACCUCCAUUUUAGCCCUUAAAUUCUUAAAAUUCCGUGAUUAAUCAAUGUUUAUACACCAAAAUAACGUAUUCCUAGGCUAAUAGUUCACACCUGAUGAUGCUCCUUCGAUUUCUCCUGAAAAUCGGUUAAGAACAACCCCAGUCGAAGUCCCAAAUAUUUUCCCUUCUCUUUCCAAGUUCGUGAACACUGUUCACUAUAACACAGGCUCGAUUUCCGCUUCUACGUCCCAUUUUCCGCACCUGCGGUACCGCUUAUGCGGCCUAAUUGACAGCUUGUGCGGUCUCACUUAAAACCACUGGGACCGUUUUUGCAGUUUCUCCUCGACCGCUUCUGCGGUCUAAAAUCCGCUUUUGCGGAUCCGCUUGUGCGUCCAAACUUUCGUUUUUGCGAAACUCCCCUGGCCACUGAUGACCGCUUCUGUGGUUCCCCCUCCACAUCUAUGCAACCACUUGUGAGGCUCCUUCUUCCACAGAUUCGGAAAUACCAGAAGAUAGAAAAGUUUGGCUGUAAUAAGGGCUCCGAACUCCCGUUUAACCAUCUGAUAACACCCCGAGGCCCUCGCGACCUCAACCAAAUGCAUGCAUAUAUUCUAAUAAUUUAUUCCAACUUGCUCGAAACAUAAAAACACUAUCACAAACAUCAAAAUCAUCAAAUUACCACGGAUUUAAGCCUAUGUUAAACUAAAACUUUCGAAACUUGCAUUUGAUCAAAAUCUUGACAUAAACACCUCCGAAUGAUCUGAAAAUUUGCACGCAUAUCCAAAAUCAUCUAACGGGGCUGCUGCAACUGUCAAAAUUCCAUUCCGAACCCCGAAUCAAAAUCUCACCUAUCAACCGGACUUCACCAAAAUUCAAACUUAGCCAAUUCAAGUCUAAUUCUACAUUGGACCUCCAAAUUCAGUUCCGAUUGCGCUCCUAAGUCAAAAAUUAUCAUCCAAAACUAGUCAAAUCAGCGAAUAUCCAUUCCGAGCCCUCUAACUCAUAAGUCAACAUUCGGUUGACUUUUUCAAGCUAACUUUCUCAUAAAGAGACUAAUUGUCUCAUUUCUAACCGAAUUCUAUCCGAAUUAUUUUAAAUUCUCCAAACACAUAUAAUGGAAUGUAUAAAAGCAUAAAACAUGGAAAACAUGGCAGAGAUACCUGAGACGAUGGGCCAGGUCGUUACAGAUGGCAUCUUGGAGUAGGAUUUUAUGCGGUUGAGGUAAAUAAUAGUUUUAGCUCUGGCUUUGAGGGUAUAAACCCGGAGAAAUUAAUAUCAUGUGAUUUUUUGGUUGUGAUAUCCAUGCUAGGUGACAGGCGUGUGGGUUUGCACCGCGACGGAUUGAGACUUGGUUCGUACCGUGAGACUGCGAGCCUAAUGGUUGUUAUCUGUAGUUAUAUGUUUACUUGUUGUUGAACUUGUUUGCCUUCAUGAUAGAGAUCAUGCUUAGGCUUAAUUCAUCCUCACGUUAUUUUUACGGAGUCAUAGAAACUAUUGUAUAUUUUUACCUCAAUCUUUAUUAUUUAGUAAUAUGGUGUGAUACUUGAUGUGGGUCCCUUAUUUGUUGAUGAUGGUGAGUUUAGUGAGGUACAUGAUUGAGUGAGGCCGAAGGCCUGGUUGUGAGGAUAUUAAUACGAUAGCGCGUGAGUUAUCCGCGUAGCACAUGAGUUGACCGUGUGGGUCCAAGUAUUGAUACCAUAGCGCGUGAGUUGUCCGCGUAGCAAGUUAGUUGACCGUGCGGAUUCAGGUAUUGAUAUGGUAGCACGUGAGUUGUCCGUGCUUAGCGCUUGGGCUUUGGGAGCCCCAAGUUAGUUGACCGUGCGGAUUCAGGUAUUGAUAUGGUAGCACGUGAGUUGUCCGUGCUUAGCGCUUGGGCUUUGGGAGCCCCUCCGAAGUCUGCACACGCCCCGUUGAGCACAGAGUGUUGGGUGUAUUGAGUGUUGAGUGCUGAGGGAUGGAGUGACAUUGCUUGAGGUUGCAUUUACUUUUGUUGUUGCUGCAUUUACCUAUUAACUUCUUUGUGGUAGUUGUUGGUUUUAUGUAAUUUACUUAUUUAUUCAUGUUUAUUAUAAAUUAUAAAAAUAAAUAAUUGGACCGUUUUACUUAGCUCGUCACUACUGCUCAGUUCCUUAGUUAUUUAUGUUACUACUGAGGUGGUUGUACUCAUACUACACCUUGCACUUUAUGUGCAAAUUCAGGUGAGUUAGAAGCAUCGAUUGUUGAGUUUAUGCCGGUUAUAUGUGGAGAUUGCAAGAAGGCUGUCAGCGUCCGCAGGAUCCUGUUACUCCUUCUGUCAUUUAUUCUUUUGGAUAGUUAGAAAGUUUAUAUAUUUUAGUGUGUAGUUUUAGACGCUCAUGACUUAGUGACACCCCGAUGUUUGGGACUCAUUUUUGUAUUUUAUAUUAAUUAUAUUUAGAGUUGGUUUAGUUUAUGAGGAAUUAAAUUAUUAAAAAUAUUUUAUUAAAUUCUUAUAAUCAAAUUAGUAGUAAUAUUUUGGGAAUAGGCUUACCUUGUAACACGAUAGGCACCAUCACGACCAUGGUUAGAUUUUGGGUUUUAUGAAAUUCACUUAUUUAUUGGGAAUAAGAUUUUAAAAAACCCGAGUUUAUUGAUUUGGUUUGGGAUUUGAUUUAUUAAUCCGACAAAAUUGGUUUGGUUUAGUAAUAAAAGGGAAAUUACCAGUUAUGUCCAUUUAUAAUUAGCCCAUUACAAAAGUUGGAUAAUUGAUAAAAUAUUACUAAUAUUAGCCAAAUUAGUCAAUUAGCUAUUUGUGCCAAAAAAAUAUCAAAUUUUUACUUUGUUUUGAGUGAGUGCUAUUAGAAUAGAUUGGGCACAACUUGAGGAGCUUGAAUCUCAAUUUUGGGAUGAUUUGGUGAAGUUUUGAAGUGGUUUGAAUUGAAAAUUUGAAGUAAAAGAUGAAGAUGAAAAAAAUAAUUUGUGUAUCAUUCAUGUAUCACAUAUGUAUCAUAUUUGUAUCAAUUGUGUAUCACAUAUAUAUUUAUGUAUACUUGUAUGUGAGAUAUCGUGAUACAUGUUUGAUGCAUGUAUCGCAGAAGACUUUUUUGAACUCGAUUUGAUUACGAAUUUUGAUGAAAAACUAGUCCAAAUCACCUCCAAUCUUCUUCGGAUUUUCUAUAAUGACUUAUCGAUAUAUUUUCAAUGAAUUUCAACUAUACCUAUUGAAAAAGUUCCCCUUUUUAUUUAUAUUUUUGAAAUAUUAUAUAGAUUUUUGUAUUUCAUCAUCUUAUUUGCUACCCCGUGCAUGAAAUUUCCUUUUUGUCUUGUAUCUAAUGUUGCUAAUCACGCUUAAAAAUAUGGAAGGUGAUUUUUGAGAGAAAGAACUAUAUAAUUUGAUUUUUCUAUUUUAUUGGCUAAUUUAUAUAAAUCUAUGUCUAAUGACUAGAGGUCGGUAAGUUGAGAUUUAUUUGAGACAUUUAUAUAAGUUUCACAUUAAAAAAUCCGACCUACACGCACCCCUAAUUCUGAUGGAUGUAAAAGAUGAGGUAGCAACAGUUUAGUUUCACAAUCAAAAUUGAAAGGGACAGUGGGCAGAUAGAAGUUGGUGUGGAGAAUAAUUGUACUUUACUCCUUUCAUAUAAGUCGUAUUUUAUAUAAUGUUAUUUGAUUGUGUAAAAGUUAAAAGUAUUAACCUGCGCCUUAUUAUAAUUAUAAUAAGUAAAAAUGAAAUAUUCAAAUAAUAAUUAAUUACUACAUAAGUUUGAUAGACAAACAUCAUAUCAUAAUUAAAAAUCUAAAUAAUGUAAUAAAUAUAAAAAUAUAAUUGUAUAUAAAGUUAUAUUCCCCUAUUUCAGUUUAUGUGACACUAUUACUAUUUAGUGAAAUAACAUUAAACGUAAUGCAUCUUAUAAAGAAAAGAAAAUGAUAAAUAUCGGACAAUAUACUGGCCACACAAAACAAAAAGGAAAAAAUGUAGAAGUUUCAGAAUUUAAUUUAUAAAAAAGAAGAAAAAACUGAAAGUGGAUAUUAAAUUAGUGAAAUAUACGAAACACCUAUGAAUGCAAAAAUUUAUUUGCACUUUGUGCUUACAUUAAAUCAAAUGAUUCAAUCUUAACCAUUAAAAGUUACAGCAUAUAUUAUUCAACUAUGGUUAAAGAAUGACGGUGUAUAUGCAAGAUAUAAUCUUGUAUUCAUUGGUUUAGUUUAAAUAAUAGAAGCAUAUCCUAGGAAAUUUUUACCACCUAUGAGUGUGAUGAGAUGAAUGAUUAGGAUUUCGUCAUUCGUGAAAUGGAGAACUAUUCAAUAGUAAGGGGUACAUUCGAAUCGGUUUAUCGAUAAAUUAAAUCUAUUAUGUGUUAUUGGAUUAUCGAUUUUGAUUUCGAAAUUUUUCUUAUCGAGUUAUCGAUUUCGAUAUCGAUUUUGUCCUCUUCGAUUAUUAGUUUAUCGAUAAACCGAUAAGAUAUACUAAAAAGAUAAUUUUUAUGCCGAUAAGGGGGAAUGAUUUUAUAUCGUUGGAGUGUUGGCGGCGUACAUUUGAUCCUCUUACUUUAAUUUCGUUGCAUGUGCUUAGUUAGGCGUGUUUAUAGCAAUAUGAUUUCCGUGAUUAUUGGCAUAAUCGAUAAAUCAAAAUUGAAAAAACCGAAACCUUAUUGAAAUAUUAAUGAUAAGCAUAUGUAAAAAUUGAUAAUUAAUAAGUAAUUAUUCAUAAGGAUUAAAAUCGAAUCGAUAAAUCGAAUGCACACCCAUAUUCAACAGGAUGAAUUUGGGAAUGUAAUCUUCUUAUGUGGUAAGCACUUACUCAAAGUAAGAUAGUGCGAAACUAAAUUAGUUAAGUCUUAAAACAACUAUUGAACACAAGAAAAGUAAGGCAAAUUGAAGACCGCACUUUAAGGGUAUAAUGUAGGUAACAUACGUUGAUGUCAGGGUUUUAAAAGACGUGAAAGCAAGCGAGUCAUUUUACAUAUGCUUCGGCGAGGAGCAAGUCCCAUGAGUAUUUAAUUGAUAAUAUUUUAUAAAAUAGUAUAAUUACAGUAAAUAUAUUUAAGUAGGUAAAAUUGCAUAGAAAUUGAAAAACUAUAAAUAAGUAAAAAUUGUAUANNNNNNNNNNNNNNNNNNNNNNNNNNNNNNNNNNNNNNNNNNNNNNNNNNNNNNNNNNNNNNNNNNNNNNNNNNNNNNNNNNNNNNNNNNNNNNNNNNNNNNNNNNNNNNNNNNNNNNNNNNNNNNNNNNNNNNNNNNNNNNNNNNNNNNNNNNNNNNNNNNNNNNNNNNNNNNNNNNNNNNNNNNNNNNNNNNNNNNNNNNNNNNNNNNNNNNNNNNNNNNNNNNNNNNNNNNNNNNNNNNNNNNNNNNNNNNNNNNNNNNNNNNNNNNNNNNNNNNNNNNNNNNNNNNNNNNNNNNNNNNNNNNNNNNNNNNNNNNNNNNNNNNNNNNNNNNNNNNNNNNNNNNNNNNNNNNNNNNNNNNNNNNNNNNNNNNNNNNNNNNNNNNNNNNNNNNNNNNNNNNNNNNNNNNNNNNNNNNNNNNNGAUAUAUGCUUGUGUAUAUGUGUGUGCAAGCGCUCACUCUCCUGUCCCCAUAAAAAUUAGUUAAAAUUAUUCAUUGACAGUUACUUGCAAGUCCAAGUAACUUGAGUUGAAAAGAAUAAAAUUUUCUAUAUGAAGGAACAAAAAAGAUGACUAACUUACAAUUUGAACUUUACACUUGGUGCCAUGGAGGAGAAUGAAAUUUUCUUUGUAUUUGUAAAAGAAAAAUAUUCAUUGCUUUUGGAAGAUAGUAGCAGACUAGUGGACAAGAUAAAAAAUAGGUAAGACCAUAAAUAAGGGCUUCUAGCUAUAAAAGAAAGUAUUGGCUUUUAGAUUUAAUGUUUCAAUUCCUUUUUAAGACUUUUGAGUAAUUACAAACUGACUUUUGAGAAUUAAGGUAUUAUAUUAAGGACUUAUUCAGCAAAUUUUGUUUUAAUUUUAAAAAUCUAUUGAGCUUAUGACUCGUUGUAAAGACGUGCCUCAACGCUCGGCGUAUGCCUCUUAUGACUUUCGCUCCCCAUAAUUGAGUUGUCCUAAAAACGCCUUUUAAAACAAUGCUGGAUGCAAACAUUAAUAUAAGAUCCACGACUCAAACCAAUAACUUAUAAAAUGUAUGAAGAUAACUUUACCAUUGGUUCGAGACUCGCCUUCGAACUAUAGAACACCAGAUAAUUAAAAAGAAAGUAAAUAUAAAAUCUGAGAAUAAUAUAGCCAAUACAACAACAACAAUAGUGGAGGAUUAGUUAAAUAAAAGAAAAAUCAGCAAACUCAACACGCAACCAAUAUUAGGACGACUGCAACACACUUCCCGUUAUUCAAAGCCGCGUCCCAUGCCUUCUCCCUUUCCUCUGUACAUACAUACGUCUCUAUCUCUCUCUCCAUAUAACAAACACACACACAGUUGCCUGAUUAUUUUUUUAACCUGUCCAAAUUUCUUUUAUUUGCGGUGCUCGCCAUGUUUCUUUGAGGUAAUUAACUAGUUUCAUCUGUGUUAUGUAUCCUUAUACUUUAUACUGUAUUGCAUAUUCUCUAAUUUCUAAAUCUCCUUGUUUUUUUAAUUAUUUUGGGAUUUACUUUAAGUUUUAGGUUAAAUUGAUUUGGCAACUGUAGCACAUCUUUUGGAUUUGUGUCCUAUUUUUUUUGGUUGAUUUCAUACACUUCUUAGCUAAUGGGUGUUUUAGGAUUUUUUUAAAAAUCUCUGUUUACCACGUUCAUGAAAGCACUGUUGUUUAAGUCUAUAAUAUAUUAUUCUGCUCCAUUUAUGUGACGACUGGCUGCUCAGUUUAAUAAAAAAGAAAAAACUGUUUAAAACUUAUGGUGUGAAAAUUGCAUUUUUGUGACUUUAAAUAAAUUCAGUAAGGGUAAAUUACGAAAAUUUUAGUUCAAUUAUUUUUGAAUAUAGAGUAAUUUAAGAUUUUAAGUUAGUGGAUGCAGAUAGCAGUUAUGCUACUCUUAGGGGCCGUUUGAUAUGAUGGAUAAGCAAAAAUAAUUCUGGGAUAAAAAUUUAGUAUGGCCUUAUCCCUUGUUUGGUUACUAAUCUCGGAUAAGUCAUCUCAGGAUUAAAAGUAGGUGUUGUGCUCUCUCCAAACUACUAGGUCAAAGGUUCAAUGUUGGUAAACACGUUAAAAAAGUAGUAUUGGAAUAACUUAUACCUGCCAGAGAGUGGAAUAGUAAUCAUAGAUAAGUUAUCCCAUGAUACAACAAUAAUAUCAACAAAUUAGACCCCGUAUAUUCCCAAAUCCCAACAAGUGAGGUCUAGGGAGGGUAGUCUGUACGUAGACCUUACCUUAUCCCUACCUAAUGAAGGUAGCUAAGUUAUCCCAGGAUAAAACAGUAAAUUUGACUAUCCCAGGAUUAAUACAACAUACCAAAUAGUCAAUAAGAAAUGAUACCAGGAUAACUAAUCCCAGCAUAACUAAUCUCAGUAUAAGUGUAUAAUUAAUUCCAACGUAACAAAUCCCAGCAUAACUAAUCUUCAAACCAAAUGACCCCGUAAUGUUUUCCUUUUGCGCUGAAUAAGGUUUCAAUAGUUUAAUGUGGUUAGUAUAAAUUGGAGUUCUUUGAGUUUCCUCUACUUUGCUGAAGUUUAUGUGUUGUAUUUAUAUUUUAGUCUUAAUGACAGUGUUUCUAGAGAUGUCAUACCAAUGAUCAUUGCUUUUUCUCUUAUUUCAAACAACAACAAUAACAACAAUUACCCAGUAAAAUCCCACAUAGUGGGGUCUGGGGAGGGUAAUGUGUACGCAGACCUUACCCAUGCUCCGAUAAGACAGAGAGGCUGUUUCCGAUAGACCCUCGGCUCAGAGCAACAGAAAUAAAAGAGAACAAGGAAAACAGGAAAAGAAAAGAAAUUUACUCUUGUCCUGAUAGGGGCAGAGAGGCUGUUUUCAAUAGACCCUCGGCUCAGAAAGACAAAAACAAAGUAAAAAAAAACAAGAGGAGAGAAUUCAUUAGUAACUCUAGUAGAAACCGUAAUAGUAACAAAAACAUAAAAAUCAAAAGAUGAAUGGCAUGCAGUAACAGUAACCAUAAUCUAAGGCCCGGGGCUAAGACAAACAAUAAGAAUAGUGUGGGUCCAACAUAAACUGCAAGUCAUCUAAGACCAACCCUAAUCCAACCCCGCCUCACCCCCGGAAUGAAGUAAGGAAAGCUUUACUACCCCUAUCCUACAGCACUAAUACUUGACCUCCAUGCCUUCUACCAAGGGCCAUGUCCUCGGAAAUGUGCAGUCGUGCCAUGUCCUGCCUUAUCACCUCUCCCCAAUACUUCCUAUGUCUCCCUCUAUCUCUUCUCGUACCCACCAUGGCCAGCCGCUCACACCUCCUCACCGGUGCAUCGAUGCUUCUCCUCUGCACGUACCCGAACCAUCUGAGCGUCACUUCCCGCAUCUUGUCAUCCACAGGGGCGACGCCCACCUUCGUCCGAAUAUCUUCAUUCCUAAUCUUGUCUAUCCUAAUGUGCCCACACAUCCACCUCAGCAUCUGCAUCUCUUCUACUUUUAUCCUCUGGAUAUGGGAUUUCUUAACCGGCCAACACUUCGCCCCAUACAACAUGGCCGGUCUAAUUACAGCUUUAUAAAACUUGCGUUUCAGUAUCGGUGGCACUUUCUUGUCACACAAGACUCCAGAUGCAAGCCUCCAUUUCAUCCCGCCCUCCCCUAUGGGGUGAGUGAUGUCCUCGUCAAUCUUUUCAUCCUCGUGAAUCAUCGACCCAAGGUACUUGAAGCUAUGUCUCUUGGAGAUGACGUGUGGCCCAAGCCUCACGUCCCCGCCUACAUCCCUCGACUCAGCGCUUAACUUGCAUUUCGAAUACUCUGUCUUAGACCUGCUCAAUUUGAAAUCCUUAGACUCGAGAGUUUGUCUCCAAACCUCCAAUCUCGUUAACACCGGCACUAGUCUCGUCAAUUAGAACUAUGUCGUCAGCAAAUAACAUACACCAUUGUACCUCCCCUUGAAUAUGGUGUAUCAAAGCAUCCAUUACCAAGGCAAAUAAGAACGAGCUAAGCGCUGAGGCUUGGUCUAAUCCCAUAACAACUGGGAAAUGCUCUGAGUUGCCUCCCUCCAUUAUAACCUUAGUCUUAGCUCCAUCAUACAUGUCCUUGAUCGCUCGUAUGUAAGCUACCGGCACGCCCUUCGCCUCAAGAAAUCUCCAGAGCACCUCCCUAGGAAUUUUAUCAUACGCUCUCUCCAAGUCAAUAAAUACCAUGUGCAGAUCUUUCUUCUUAUACAUGUACUGUUCCACCGACCUCCUAAUAAGGUGGAUAGCUUCCGUAGUGGAGCGGCCCGGCAUGAACCCAAAUUGAUUGUCGAAUAUAGACGCUGUCUUCCUCACCUCCACCACCCUCUCCCAGACUUUCAUUGUAUGGCUAAGUAACUUGAUACCCCUAUAAUUGUUACAACUGUGGAUAUCACAUUUGUUCUUGUACAACGGUACCAUUAUACUCGACCUCCAUUCCUCCGGCAUCCUUUUCGUCCUAAAAAUUAUAUUGAACAACCCAGUCACCCACUCCAAUGCUUUACUAUACUUAUGGAAAGAGAGGAAAGUCUGAGAUGAACCAUGAAUGGAGAGAUAGACUCACAUAGGGUGAUUCCAAGUUAAUGGAUUAAGGUUUAAGAGGUUUAAUUUCAUUCAUCUGGUCAUGAUAGCUCUAUUUAAUUAUGUUUCUACGUGUUUAUCUUGUUUAUGUGAACUUGAUUAAGCUUGCUCCAAUGCUUUACUAUACUUAUGUAAGAGAUUAAAGUCUGAGCUGAACCAUGAAUGGAGAAAUAGACUCACAUGGGUGAUUCCAAGUUAAUGGAUUAAGGUUUAAGUGGUUUAGUUUCAUUCAUCUGAUAAUGAUAGUUCUAUUUAACUGUGUAUCUACGUGUGUUUAUCUUGUUUACGCACUUUAGGUUCUCUUGACAUUGGAUGGACUUCACAAAAGUUAGGCCUUGGCCUCAGUAGUUUGGAUUUUUCAUUUAUUCCCUAUCCUGCAUUGUUUUGUCGUUGCUCUUUCCCUCAUAUUUGGCUUUGGUUUAUAAAUCCAAGACUAGAAUAGUUAAAAGUUGUUAUUAGUUGUUGUUUAGGGUCAUGGUCUAACUUUUGUUUGUAUCUACUGAUUUAUAGAAAUCAUUCUCUAGUCUCGGUGGAGUUCUGGAAAUACAUGGUAGGUCAGGAGUAGAAUGGCUCUUCAGGUUGUUCAAUGCGAUCUUCAGAACCAAAAGGAUGCCGGAGGAGUGGAGGUGGAGUACAGUGGUGCCCUUGUACAAGAACAAAGGGGAUGUCCAGGGCUGCAACAACUAUAGGGGUAUCAAAUUUAUAAGUCACACCAUGAAGGUCUGGGAGCGGGUGAUCGAUGCGAGGGUGAAGGAGAUGACAUCUAUAACUGUGAACCAGUUCGGUUUCAUGCCGGGUCGCUCCACUACAAAAGCUAUCCACCUUGUCAGGANNNNNNNNNNNNNNNNNNNNNNNNNNNNNNNNNNNNNNNNNNNNNNNNNNNNNNNNNNNNNNNNNNNNNNNNNNNNNNNNNNNNNNNNNNNNNNNNNNNNNNNNNNNNNNNNNNNNNNNNNNNNNNNNNNNNNNNNNNNNNNNNNNNNNNNNNNNNNNNNNNNNNNNNNNNNNNNNNNNNNNNNNNNNNNNNNNNNNNNNNNNNNNNNNNUAUCCUAUAGAGCGUGCCGGAAGCAUACAUCAGAGUAAUCAAAGACAUGUUCGAUGGAGCUAAGACUAGGGUUAGGACGGUGGGUGGUGACUCAAACCUUUUUCGGUGGUUAUGGGGCUCCAUCAAGGAUCGACGCUUAGCCCUCUCUUGUUUGCCUUGGUGAUGGAUGCUCUAACCCGACAUAUUCAAGGAUGGUGUAUGUUAUUUGCUGAUAAUAUAGUCUUGAUAGACGAGACGAGGGUCGGUGUUAUUGAGAGGUUAGAGGUAUGGAGACAGACUCUCGAGUCUAAGGGUUUCAAAAUAAGCAGAUACAUAGUCUUGAUAGAUGAGACGAGGAUCGGUGUGAUUGAGAGGUUAGAGGUAUGGAGAUAGACUCUCGAGUCUAAAGCUUUCAGAAUAAGCAGAUCUAAGACAGAAUACUUGGAGUGCAAGUUUAGUGCCGAGCCGAGCGAUGUAGGCAGGGACGUGAAGAUUGGAUCUCAGGUCAUCGCUAAGAGGGAUAGUUUUAGAUAUCUUGGGUCGGUGAUUCAGGGGGACGGAGAGAUUGACGGGGAUGUCACUCGCCGUAUAGGAGCGGGGUGGUCGAAGUGGAGGCUUGCAUCAGGAAUCUUGUGUGACAAAAAAGUACCACAGAAACUCAAGGGAAAAUUUUAUAGAGCUGUGGUAAGACCUGCCAUGUUGUAUGGGGCAGAGUGCUGGCCGGUUAAGAACUCUCAUGUUCAGAGAAUGAAGGUUGCAGAGAUGAGGAUGCUCAGGUGGAUGUGUGGGAUCACCAGGUUAGAUAAGAUUAAGAAUGAAGUUAUUCGAGAGAAGAUGGGGGUGGCCUUGGUAAACGAGAAGAUGCGAGAAGAGAGGCUCUGGUGGUUCGGGCAUGUGCGGAGGAGAAGUCUUGAUGCCCCGGUGAGGAGUUGUGAGCGGCUGGCGGUGGUCGGUGUGAGGCGAGGCAGAGGGAGACCUAAGAUGUAUUGGGGAGAGGUGAUUAGACAUGACAUGGCUAGAAUGCAGAUUUCCGAGGACAUGAUCCUUGAUAGGAAAGUCUGGAGGUCUAGUAUCAGGGUGGUAGGAUAGGGGCUCCUAGAAUUCUUUGUACUCCUUUUCCGGGGAUGGGGAGACUUGGCAGGGCUAUCCAUAUAUGAUUCGUGUAUUGGAUUGUGUCCACUUUAUGGUAGUUACUGUUUGGUAUUAUUUAUGGUAAUUACCCGGAGCUGGGGAGGCUUGGCAGAGCUAUCCAUAGAUGAUUCGUGUAUUGGAUUGUGUCUCCCUUGUGGUAGUUAUUUAUGGUAGUUACUGUUUGAUAUUAUUUAUGGUAAUUAGUGUUUAAUAUUAUUGCAUGCCAUUUUAUUUAUGGUUCUUAUGUUUAGAUAAUUAUUUAUGCUAUUUCAGCUGGAGACACUAAUGAUCUUUUGUUUUUUGUUUUUGUUUUUGUUUUUCCUUUCCUUUCCUGAGCCGAGGGUCGACUGAAAACAGCCUCUCUGCCCUUCCGGGCAGGGGUAAGGCCUGUCUACAUAUUACCCUCCCAGACCUCACUUUGUGGGACUAUACUGGGUAGUUGUUGUUGUUGUUGUUAUUCACUAGCUAACUAGAGCUGAAGUAAAGCUUCUGUCAGACAACUAGGAAACAUCCUGUAAUAUCUCUGCAUAUAUAAUCAAAGCUGAGAAAGUUUUCAACUAGAAAGUAUAGGAGAAUCUAUACAGUAUUUGUGCGGCGUGGGUGGAAGAUGUGAUUGUCUAUAAUGCAUUCUGACUGAGGUAACUGUACUUGUUCUCAUUCAUAAUGGAAUCUUAGAUGAAUAUUAGGGAUAUGUCUAGAUGUUUGUAUGCUUGCAGUCCCAUAAGCAAAUUAACCUCAGCUACAUUCUGGGUUUUAUAAUUUUAGGAUUUGUUUGUCAUAGCAACGAUGUAAUCUUAGGUUAUGAUAUUCUUGCAGUGAAAAAGAUUGGCAUCUUUGCGCGUGUCCCAUUCUCUUCUCCAACUUUGUUGAAAAGGUUUACUAUUUCAAAAUUAUACUUGAAAACUCUGAUGGAGGUUAAGCUAUGGAAUGACAAGCGUGAAAGGGAAAUGUAUGACAACUUCGGUGAGCUCUUUGCGAUUAUCAAAGCGGCAGAGAAGCUAGAGAAGGCUUAUGUUCGUGACAUCGUUUCACCAGCUAUAUAUGAAACUGAGUGCCAGAAACUGAUUGCUCAGUUCAAGACCUUAUCUUCUACAUUGAAAGAUGCUGUACCUAACAUUGAGCGAUUUCAUGACACCUAUAAAAUGGAUUGCCCUGCUGCACUUAACCGGCUUGUGACCUCUGGUGUGCCAGCUACUGUAGAGCACCGAGCUGCUGCUUCAAUGUCAGCUAUAACUUCAGCUGCUGUUGUGGCCGAGUGUGUGCAGAAUUUCAUCACUGCAAUGGACUCGUUGAAGUUGAACAUGGUUGCAGUUGACCAGGUCCAUCCCCUGUUGUCAGAGCUCUCAUCUUCCCUCAAUAAGCUGUCGAUUCUGCCUGUGGAUUUCGAGGGAAAGACAAAGAUGAGAGAGUGGCUUUCAAGGUUGUCGAAGAUGGGUGCUGCAGAUGAGUUGACAGAACAGCAGGCUCGUCAACUCCACUUUGAUCUGGAAUCCUCGUACAACUCUUUCAUGGCAGGACUGCCCACUGAUGGAACUUAGUUGACUAUUUCAAUAGGUGGUAUGUUUGUAUAUAAGAUUGUUGUUUCAUUUAGCUAGCUCUUAACACACAUGAUUCUAUCUUUGAUUGGAGUGCUGGUGACUAUCUGAGCAGAAUAGCCAUCUAUAUUUGGGACUUCAUAUUUGUUAGAUAAUUGUAAGACUGGUGGUAGUACCCUAUUGGAUACUAUGAACUCAUUAUGGAUCACACUUCUGUCGGUCUAUAUGGUGGUGGAUUUUGAGGGAAAGACAAAGAUGAGAGAGUGGCUUUCAAGGUUAUCGAAGAUGGGGGCUGCAGAUGAGUUAACAGAACAGCAGGCUCGUCAACUCCACUUUGAUCUGGAAUCCUCGUACAAUUCUUUCAUGGCAGCACUGCCCACUGAUGGAACUUAGUUGGCUAUUUCAAUAGGUGGUGUGUUUGUAUAUAAGAUUGUUGUUUCAUUUAGCAAGCUCUUAACAAACAUGAUUCUAUCUUUGAUUGGAGUGCUGGUGACUAUAUGAGUAGAAUAGCCAUCUAUAUUUUGGGACUUCAUACUUGUUAGAUAAUUGUUAGACUGGUGGUGGUACCAUUUUGGAUACUAUGAGCUCAUUAUGGAUCGCUCUUAUAUGAGUCUAUGCCUGCUUGUGCUAGUUUAGUUAUAUUCUUGGAUUCGAGAGAGCUUUAUGCUUUUGUAUAGUAAACUAUCUCUCUUUUUAUGUUUUCGGUGGUGAUAUUGACUGUGCACGAGGCUUGCAAAAACUAGUUUGCUCUUGAAUUGUUAAAUGAAACUUGCAUUGCUGCAGUCCCACUGGACUAGUUGAUAGUUUUCUGAUUUAUUGUUGUUACUGUAUAUCCAGUAUGUUUUAUUUAUGAGAUUUCUAUUGCAUAUCAUUGUCUGGUCAUUGUAGCCCUCAUGGAUUCAGUUGCUUUAUGUUUCUGACUUUGGGUUAAUGUAUAGUUGGAUGCUUGGAUUAAUGCCACCUUAUUUUCAUUUGGCCCUUAUCGACCAGUUCUUAGUCAUAUGUCUUUUGCAUAUUAAUUGUGGGAGUAGUUGACAGGAGCCUGGAUUUUCAUUUAUCAAUUACAGCAUUUUGACUAAUUGAGUUUAUUAUGCGAAUAAAAGUUAUUGCAUUUCCAGUUUUCUCUUCUUCAUCUUGUUUGUGCUCAUAGAUACUGUGGUUACUGCUCUCUUUACAUGGAUUCUCCUGUGUCGUAUUUCCUUUAUCUAAAUUGCUGUGUUUAUGCUUUUGUUGAGCCGAAGGUCUAUCGGAAACAUCCGCUCUACCUUCACAAGGUAGUGGUAAGGUCUGCGUACGCACUAUCCUUCCCAAACCCCACAUGUGGGAAUAUACUAGGUAUGAUGUUGUUGUUGUUGUUGUUAUUCUUGUUGUUUAUGCUCUCAUGGUGUAGGUUUUGAGUCGCUUUCAUGAGCUGUGUUUGAAGUUUUGAACCUUCAAUAGGCAUGUUGCAACAGCUUUCUUUGACUGAGUGCUUUUUUGAAUGCUUUUUUGACAAAAGAUUCCUUAUUGCAUCAUAGUAAGUUUUGUUCAUUACCUUAAAAAUUCUCUUUAGAGCUUUGGCAUUUUACCUUUCCAUUGGUUCUUGAUGCAAAUUUCUCCAAGUAUAAUUAUGAUGAUUCUUGACAAUGUAGUAAUCAAGCUGCUGAGCUAGAAAGGGUAUAGACUCUCUAUACAGAGGAGAAAUUGAACUACAUUUUUAUCGUCUCAGUGUGUUACUGUGACUGGUUUUGUUACGGAAGCAUGCCAAUGGUUCUUAGGGUUGCAAUUUGUUGAGUCCUUGUCGAUUCUCCAUUUCCAGAGCUCGAAUUGUGACUCCUUACCCAUUCUCCAUUUCCAGGGCUCGAAUUUGAUAUCUCUUAGUUAAGGUUGAAGAUAUUUCAAUCAUCCACUAUGGUAGAUUUUUGUAUAAAUGAUGUGGUCGUUGAAGAUGAUAGACUUUAAUGAAUACAAUCCACCCCUUUGAGGGUCUUAACAUAGCAGUUUAUCCUUUGUUUUAAGAGUGAACAUCUCACCCCCUACUAUAUAUGCUGCAAGUGGAAGUAACACCACAAUGUUGGUAUUAUUUGUAUACAUAUUUUAUGUAUGGAUAGUAAUCUCUGUAUAAAAUAGCAAAAUCAGACAUCUGUCCUUUUUCAAAGUUCUUGUGAUGCUAAAGUAAGUGAGGUUAUACUCGACUAUGACACGAUAGCUAAACAUGAGACCUCCUUGGUUGGUGUUACAGGUCAAUUUCAGCACAAUUGACACUGCAAUGCAGUAGCCAAACUCUCAAUUACUCGGUCUUACUUUUACCGCACACAGUUCGACACUUAGAUUAUUUCCUUUAUUAAUUCUCGCAGAUUCAAAGGACACUCUUUUGGGAAAAGGCUCACAUAUUCUACUUGCCUUUAAUACCAAUGAAAUACAUUAUAAAAAGGGCCUGCCUAUGGCAGGUUUACAACGGAGCAGUUAUACAAUAUGCCUUGCACAUGAUAGGCCUAAAAAGAAGCACAACUACUUGUCUGAAUUUGAAUUCAAACUUUCCCACUAAAUUGAAUCAAUCUUCAGCAUUUUGGCAAACUGCAACAUGUUCUUUGCACAUGUCUUUAACUUUUACAGCAUAUGCACAACACACUUUUUCAGUUACAUGACUUGCACACUUAUUUCUCAGCUUCUGCCCACACUUUGCUUUCCUGCCUUACCUUGUCUUUGGACCAUGCCUCGCCCAUAAGCGCAUGACCAUGUCUUGCCAUAAACUUAGUCGUCCCACCGAUCCACACGCAUGACUUAGCCAAGUGCCAUGCACCUUCAUUUGCAAUAGCAGUUGCCCGCAAUCAAGGUGCCUUGCCAACACUCAAGACACCUUACCUAGCUGACUUGCCUAAUUCUAUGCACUAACUUAGACACACCUUCAGACACUCAAGACACCUUACCUAGCUGACUUGCCUAAGUCCAUGCACUAACUUAGACACAUCUUCAGCCCCGCACAUUGCUUGCCAAUACCCGCACAAAUCUAUACUAAGGGGCGUACAAGUCCUUCACAUAGAUUCUGCCCGACAUCCGUCACGCCUCAAUAUUAGGGGCUAACAAACCACCCCCACUGGUUAAACUUGAGGCUCUCGUCGAGGCUGAUUUCAAGUAGUCCUCUAUUUGAUGUUCAAAUUGUCAUAAUGAAUUACCUUUCUCCCAAGUUGCAUCUGCCUCGGGCGUGCCUUUCUAUUGAAUCAAAAAUUAUGUCCGCCUAUUCUUUUUGUGCAUCCCAAGUACCUAGUGGUCCAGAGUCUUUUCAAUCUCGUCCUCAAUCUGAGUGUGCAUUUCUGGAGGAGCUUUCUUGAUUUUAUGCCUAUCCGGAUCUUCAGAAUCUUCCACAUAAGGCCGCAAAAACUCACAUGGAUAGUUGGGUGUAUUUUCAUUCUUUCCGGCAGCUUCAAAUAGUAAGUAACUUCACCCACCUUUUCAAUAACUUCAAAGGGACCAUCAUAUCUUGAAACCAAUGCUCUAUGCCUUACCCUGCUAUCAACUUCUUCCAGAUUUGAGGAGUAAGCUUCAAUAAUACUUUGUUGCCCACUUUGACCUCCAAUGAACGCCUGUUCCGAUCAGCAUAUUUCUUCAUCCGUUUCUGUGCCUUAUUCAAACUAUCUGUUGCUUCUUCCAUCAUGGCUUGUCGAUACACACCAUAGCAAUAGGUAGCUGGACAUUUCCCUCCAGUUUUUUGUUGCGCAAUUGAUGUUGGUAGUUUAGGCUGUUUUCCCAAAAUAAUCUUGAAUGGACUCAUCUCUGUUGCCGAAGACUUGUGAAAGUUAUAGGAGAAUUGCGCAUAGUCUAAUAAAUAUGUCCAGUUUCGCUGACUAGCAGUCACGAAAUGCCUCUAGUAUUCUUCCAGCAAAUGAUUGAUUCUUUCGGUUUGGCCAUCAGUUUGGGGAUGAUUUGCCGUCGAGAACUUCAAGUUUGUACCCAUCAGAUUGAACAAGUAAGUCCAGAACCGGCCUGUAAACCGUGCAUCCCUGUCAUUAAUCACAUCCUUUGGCAGUCUGAAAUACUUGACCAAGUUCUUGAAGAAUAACUCAACAACCUUUGAUGGGCAUUCAGUUGGGGCAUCAAUAAAAACAACAUACUUUGAAAACCUGUCGACCGCUAAUAAAAUCCAUUGAAACAGAUUGCCAUGUUUCUUCUGGAAUAGGUAGAGGUUGCAGCAAACCCGCCUCCUUCUUCCGUUCGGUUUUAUCAAGCUAACACAUAAGACAGCUUUUCACGUAAGCUUCCACAUCUUGCUCCAUCCUUGGCCAGAAAUAAUAUCGGGAAGCAGCGACAUCAUUCUUUCAAUACCCGGAUGACCUGCCCAAAGUGUAUCAUGCGUCUCCUUCAGUAAUUCACGACGCGGUCCAUCACCAAGUGGUACCCCUCCUCCACCCCCUCGAAAUGGAGAAGAUUGUCCUCGAACCAGUACCUCCUCUCACAUUAUUCAUUGUUUUUAUGUACAGUGGAUCAUUCACAGCAGCUGACUUGAUCUUAUUAAGAAAAUUUGACUCAAGUCGUGUAAUGGAAUAAACAGCAGUAAAGACUUCUUUUCGACUCAAUGCAUCCGCAACCUGGUUGUGUCUUCCCGACUUGUGCUCCCACACAAAAUCAUAUUCUGCUAAAAAUUCCCUCCAACAUGUUUGCUUUGGACUCAACGUUUUCUCUGUUUUGAAAAAUGUAUUAGCCAUAUUGUCCGUCCUUACGACAAAUUUUGUUCCCAGCAAGUAAACACGCCAGAUUUGUAAGCAAUGACUAACAGUAACCAUUUUUUGUUCAUGAAUUGAAUACCUCUGCUUCGCUUUAUUCAAUUUUCUGCUUUCAAAGGCCACGUGAUGACCUUCUUGAACCAGAACACUUCCAACAGCCUUGUCGGAAACAUCAGUAUGCACUUCAAAGGGAAACUCAAAAUUAGGAAGCCGCCAGAUAGGUUCUGGGGCAAUAGCUUCUUUCAACACAUCAAACGCAACACUCCAUUUUUUGGACCAAGCCCACCUAACGUUCUUCUUCAACAGAUAUGCCAAAUGAGCAGUUUUCUUUGAAUAGCCAGCAAUGAAUUUCCGAUAAUAGUUAGCUAAAAGAUUUCAAUUUUUUCACAAAAUUAGGCGCAUGCCACUCCACAAUGACCUCCACCUUUUACGGGUCCAUCCGCACUUGAUUUUGGCUCACCAAGUGCCCAAGAAAUUUGAUCUCCUGCCUAGCAAACUCGCACUUUUCCAUCUUCAGAUAAAGUUGGUACUCCCUCAAAUGAGACAGCACAUUUAUCAAGUGUGGCAUAUGUUCAUCCAAGGUCAUACUAUAUAUAACAAUGUCGUCUAAGUAGACGAUGAUAAAGUCAUCCAAGUACUCAUACAACACAUCAUUCAUCAGGUUGCAAAACGUAGUAGGGGCAUUUGUCAACCUGAACGGCAUAACAAGGAAUUCAUAUGAGCCAUACCUUGUAACACUUGUAGUUUUAGACUCAUCACCUUCAGUUAUUCGUACCUGCCAAUAACCAGACCAUAAAUCAAGCUUCGUGACCCAGAAAGCCUUGCUCAAUCUGUCUAUCAAGUCUUGUACCAAUGAAACUGGAUAUUUGUUCUUUACAGUCACCUUGUUCAACGCUCGAUAAUCAACAUACAUCCGAAGUGUCCCAUCCUAUUUCUUUUGAAAUAAAAUAGGUGCAGCAAACGGAGCUUUUAAUGGUUGAAUCAGUCCCGCAUCAAGCAACUCGUUCAAUUGUUUCCACAAUUCAGUCAACUCUUUUGGCUCCAUCUGAUAAGGAGGUUGAGCAGGAGGCAUCAAAGCCCAUGGAAACUCUAUCUUUUGAUCAAUAGCCCUCCGUGGUGGCAGAUUUUUAGGCAACUCCGGUGGCAUCACAUCAGCAAAGUCACUCAAGAUUUGAGCAAUGCAGUCCGACACUUCAACCUUCACAUCAGGCUUCACCUCAACCAUAGCAACAAGGAAAGAAUCAUCUCCCCUUUUCAAACCUUUUUCGACAAUCAUGGCAGGAACUAAUUAAGCCCUCUGUUGAGUCCCUUCUUUCCCGUAAGGAUGAACAACCUUUACAAAACAAGGAGUCAUUUCAUUCAUGAUCAUCACUCCGUCCAAGUGAGGCAUUGGAACAAAGCGAUAUUUUCGCAUAAAGUCAAUUCCAAGGAUCACCUCGAAAUCUUGUAAUGGAAUCAACAUCAAGUUAACUUUUCCCUUCCAGUUCCCAAUAGACAUAGAAACAUUGUAAGCCAUACACAGAAUGGCUUUGCUUAGAGUCAAUCUAUACUUAUGCACCAAAUUGGCCGAGACAAAUGUGUGAGUAGCACCAGUAUCUACCAUUUCUAUCACACUCUUUUCACCAAUUUUCAUUUCAAUGUGCAUCAGCAUAUAAUGAGGGUUCAUCUCAUUGCUUAUAGCAUUAACCAACGAUAUAACAUUCAGCAAUUGCAAAGGAUUCACCAAGGCAACAACAAUUUCUUUACCUUCUCCUUCCCGAUUAUUUUCUAUAGCAAGAAAAGCAUUAACCCGUUCCCGAUUUGGAUAGUUUUUUUGGCAAUGUGAGGUAUGUCGCACGCCCAACAACCAUCACUCUUUUUAUUUGCGAUGCCUUUGUUCCUAGCAAACCCGUCAACAGCCUUUCCCUUUUCCACAACUUCUUUUCGAACUUUCUUCCUCCAUUCCCCUUUCGUCUCCUCCUUUUUCAUAGGUUCUGAAGUAGAAGGAAUUUCAGAAAGACUAUAGGUAUUGCGAUAAUCCACCAAAGAAUCCACUGCAGCAAUCGCACUCGGGAGAUCUUCCACGUUCUGCCUCCUACGUUCGUUAUGGGCCCAUGCUUGCAUUCUAGAAAUAAAGUUAUGCAAUUUGUCAUCCUUUAACAUGUUCUGAAUAUCGAGCAUUAAGGAAGUAAAUUCCUUUAUAUAGUCAUGAAUUGAUCCAGUUUGCCGUAGACAUUUCAAGCGAUCCCUAACAAGCCAAAAUGCGUUUCUAGGUAAGAACCGGUCCUUCAUUUCCUUUCGGAGUUUCUUCCACGUAUCGAUCUCUGCCCGCACUUUAGUCAUCAGCCAUGCGAGUUCUCCACCAUAAUUUAGCAUCCCCCAUUAGGUACAUGCUUGUAAAUGUGACUUUCUCCCCGUCUGGAACUUUGGCAGCAACAAAGCAUCGCUCCAUAUCCCACAGAAAGUUCUCCGGUUCUUUUGCACUACGCACUCCACCAAACGCCUUCGGAUUAGGGAUCUUAACUUUUGAAUGUUCUUUACUGCAUUGGCCAAGAGCAGCCAAUGCCCUUCGAAGAACAGUAAUUUCUGUGUUCAAAGUUUGGAUCUCCUUUUUCAGAUAUUCAACUUGAACAUUCAUAGCCUCACAAAUUUGUUGAAUACCUUCAAAAAACUGAUCAAUUCCAUCCUUUAGACGGUAGAUCUCAGUAGUUAGAUCAGCCAUAUCCAAAUGAUCAUCAGUCACACCGAUCAUCGCCUCCAACCUUUGCACACGAUCAUGCAAGUCUGAAGUGGACCCAUCGGCCAUGGCCACAAAUCACUACCAAAGCUCUAAUACAUGUCGUUACAUGGCCAAUUUUAGCACAAUUGACACUGCGAGACAGUAGCCAAACUCUCAGCCACUCAGCCGUACUUUUUCCGCACACAGUCUGACACUUAGAUAAUUUCAUACUUAUAACAACGUAGAAACACACAAAAAUACGGGUAAAAAUUCAACCUUUAUUAAUUCUCACAGAAUACAAAGGACACUCUGUUGGGAAAAGGCUCACAUAUGAUACUUUCCUUUUAUCCCAACGAAAUACACAUAUAAAAGGGGGCUGCAUAUGACAGUUUUACAAAGGGGCAGUUAUACAAUGUGCAUUGCACGUGACAGGCCUAAAAACAAGCACAGCUACUUGUCUUAAUUUGAGUUCAAACUUUCCCAUGAAAUUGAACCAAUCUUCAGCAUUUUAGCCAACUGCAACAUGUGCUUUGCAGAUGGCUUUAACUUCCACAGUACAUGCACAACACACUUCUUCAGUCACUUGACUUGCACACUUGUUUUCCAGCUUUUGCCCACACUUUGCCUUCAUGCCUUGCCUUGUCUUUGGACCAUGCCUCGCCCAUAAGCUCAUGACCAUGUCUUGCCACAAACGUAGUCGUCCCACUGAUCCGCACGCAUGCCUUAGCCGAGUGCCAUGCGCCUUCAUUUGCCAUAGUCGUUGCCCACAAUCAAGCUGCCUUGCCAACACUCAAGAUACUUUGCGUCGCUAAUUUGCCUAAGUCCACGCACUAACUUAGAUACACCUUCAACCCCCCGCAUUGCUUUCCAACACCCGCACAAAUCUAUGCCAAGGGGCAAUGUACAAGUCAUUGACAUAGAUUCUGCCCGACAUUCAUCAUGUCUCCAUAUUAGAGACUAACAAUUGGCUAUUUCUAAGAAUGACUCACUUGUGAAAUUUUCACAAGUUUUUUUUUUUGCUGCUAUUGUAUAACUCAAUAUAAUAUAAUUAAAAUCAAGGGGAUUAAAGGCCUUUAUAUAGGCAUGAAUACGAUAACUACCGUGAGAUUACAACUCAAAAAUAAAGGAUAACAAGUUACUGAAUCAUCAUAUGCCAAGCUGUUGAAUCAUCAAGAGAUAAGCUGAUGCAUAAACAAAUGACAAGCUAUUGCAUUAGCAAGUAUUUCUUCCGUUAAUUUUUACUUUUAGGUUUUGACUUUUCACGCCCCUUAAAAAAUAAUGGAUGAAGUGCAUAAUUUAUCAUGAUAUUCAUAUUAAUUGAUAUAUAUUUUUAAUGGUUUUAAAAAAAUAUUUUGAAAUGAAUAAUUAAUAUUAUGGAUAUAACAGAAAAAGGAAAAUUAUUUCUCUUCAUAUCCUAAAAGUAACAAGUAAAAGUGAAAGGAGGGAGUAGUCAAGAAGAUAUCGAAAAAAGAGCACGUGAAAUGGUUUAGCAAAAUAGGUUACAAACCAACUUUGCACCAAAAAAGAAAAAGCGAAAGUUUGUAAGCUUAUAUUAAUUUCAAUUAUUCAGCAAAGUUACGUCUUUUAAGAUCCAAUUGAGAAUAAAGACAACUCUAGAUAUGAUUUCUUUUACUUAGAUCAUUGAAAACAUUAUCUGGACAUAUAUCAAAAUAUUUCGUGGAUCAAACUUCAUUUGAUUGUUAACAAUUUUAUUGCAUAUGCGUGGGUAGAGGUUUCUAUAAAUACAUCACUAUGCAAUUAACUAUUAAGUAUUUUUAUUGGAGUUUUUUUCUUUUUCUAAGAGGUGAAAUAAAACAUCUCGGUUGAAGCAUAACGAUUACAACAAACACAACAACAACUACCUAGUAUAAUCUUACUAGGUGGGAUCUGGGGAGGACAAUACGUACGCAGGCCUUACCCCUACCCGAAAGGGCAUAGAGACUAUUUUCAAUUGACCCCCAAUAAAACAAAAACAAAAAUAAAAUUAAAAAUCAAAAACAGGAGAGUAUUAGUAACUCUAUCAAAAAUCACAUAGACAAUUAUCAAAACAUAAACCAUAAACCAUAAAUAAAAUGCAUGUAGUAAUCUCAAAACAUGAACCAAUGCACAAAUCAUCUAUAGAGGGCCAUACCAAACCCCCAGACCGGGAAAGAAGUGCGAAUGAAACAAGGCCCUCCUAUCAGACAACCCUGAUGCUAGACCUCCAAACUCUCCUAUCAAGGAUCAUGUCCUCGGGAAUCUGCAAUCUAGCCAUAUCCUGCCUGAUCACCUCUCCCCAAUACCUCCUGGGCCUUCCUCUACCUCGACUCGCGCCAACCACCGCUAGCCGCUCACAAUUCCUCACCGGGGCACCGGGGCUCCUUCUCUGCACAUGCCUGAACCACCUAAGCCUCGCUUCCCGCAUCUUCUCAUCCACCGGGGCCACCCUUACCUUUUCCCGAAUAACUUCCUAAUCUUAUCCAAAUUGGUGAGCCCGCACAUCUACCUGAGCAUCCUCAUCUCCGCAACCUUCAUUCUCUGAACAUGAGAAUUUUUCACCGGCCAGCACUCUGCCCCAUACAGCAUGGCAGGUCUAACCACAACUCAAUAAAACUUUCCCUUAAGUUUCUGUGAUACUUUUUUAUCACACAAGACUCCUGAUGCAAUCCUCUAUUUCGACCACCCCUACCCCUAUGUGGUGGGUGACAUACCCGAUGAUCUCUCCAUCGCUCUGAAUCACCGACCCAAGGUAUCGAAAACUGUCCCUUUUGGCGAUGACCUGAGAUCCAAGCUUCACGUCUCUGCCCAGCUCGCUCGGCUCGCCGCUAAACUUGCAUCUAGGUAUUCUGUCUUAGAUCUGCUUAGUUUGAAACCCUUAAACUCGAGAGUCUGUCUCCAGACCUCCAACCUCUCGUUAACAUCGACCCUCGUCUCGUCUAUCAAGACAACGUUAUCCGCAAAUAGCAUACACCAUGGCACAUCCCCUUGAAUAUGGCGUGUUAGAGCAUCCAUCACAUAAGCAAAUAAGAGCGGGCUAAGCACAAAUCCUUGAUGAAGUCCCAUAACCACCGAAAAAUGGUCUGAGUCGCCACUCAUCGUCCUAACCCUAGUUUUAGCACCAUCGUACAUGUCCUUGAUCACUCUUAUGUAGGCUUCUGGCACACUCUUCGCCUCCAGGCACCUCCACAACACCUCCCUUGGGACCUUGUCGUACGCCUUCUCCAAGUCGAUAAAUACUAUGUGCAGGUCCUUCUUCUUAUCCCUAAACUGUUCCACCAAUCUCUUGACAAGGUGAAUAGCUUCUGUAGAGCGGCCCGGCAUGAAACUGAACUAGUUUACGGAUAUAGACGCCAUCUCCCUCACCCUCGCCUCAACCACCCGCUCCCAAACUUUCAUGAUGUGGCUUAGUAAUUUGAUACACCUAUAGUUGUUACAACACUGGACAUCCCCUUUGUUCUUAUACAAGGGCACCACUGUACUCAACUUCCACUCCUCCGGCAUCCUCUUAGUUCUGAAGAUCACGUUGAAUAGCCUGGACAGCCACUCCACCCCAGUUCUACCCAUGCAUUUCCAGAACUCAACAGGAAUUUCAUCGGGUCCGAUCACUCGGCCCAUACUCAUCCUACGCAAAGCCCCCACGACCUCCCUUACCCUAAUGCGCCUACAGUACCCAAGGUCUCUAUGACACUCUGAAUUCCCCAGCUCCCCUAGCUCUAUGUCAUGAUCCCCCUCCGGUUUAAGCAGAUCUCGAAAGUACACCUUCCACCUCCGCUUUACUUGAGACUCCCCCAUCAGAACUCUACCAUCCUCGUCCUUGAUGCACCUAACUUGGUCUAGAUCUCGUGCCUUCCUCUCCCUUGCAUUAGCCAACCUGAAUAACUUCUUUUCCUCACCUUUCUCCCUUAUUUCCUCGUACAUGCGACCAAACGCUGCAUUUUUAGCUUCCGUGACCGCCAACUUCGCUUCCUUCGCCGCCACCUUGUAACUCUCCCUGUUCACUCUCUUUUUUUCCUCGCUUGUGCUCCCUGCCAGCUUAGCAAACGUCGUCUUCUUCGCCUCCACUUUACCUUGGACUACGUUGUUCCACUAUCAGUCGCCCUGAUGCCUGCCCGAAUAGCCCUUGGCUACCCCGAGCACAUCUCGUGCUGCCUUCCUAACCAAGCUCUUCAUAUCUGACCACAUCGCGUCUACUUCCUAGAACUGCUGCAAGCUCCACCAUCAACUAACCUCCUCUCCAACUCCUGGAUUUUCUCCUUAACGAAAGCUUCCCAUCUAAUCCGCGGCCGGCCCCGUGCACUUCUCCUCUUCCUCUUCACCCAGAGACCGACAUCCAUCAGUAGGAGUCUAUGCAGAGUCGAUAGGGACUCUCCUAGAAUAAACUUGCAGUUUUUACACAGCCCUCAAUCGCUCCUUCUGCGGAGGAGAUAAUCAAUCUGAGUGUGCGCCGCCGAAAUCUUGAAAGUGACGAAAUGUUCCUCCCUCUUCUGAAAGGAUGAGUUCGCAAUCAAAAGCUCAAAAGCCCUGGCGAAAUCAAGCAGUGAAGUGCCUCCUCCAUUCCUAACCUCAAGGCCAAAGCCUCCAUGCACCUCACAAUAACCACCAACAUCAGCCCCAAUAUGACCAUUAAAAUCCCCUUCAACAACUAACUUCACAUAUUGGGGAAUACUACUCACCAACUCAUCCAAGCCCUCCCAAAAACACCUUUUAACCUCUUCAUCCAAGCUUGUUUGCGGUGCGUAAGCGCUGAUGACAUUGAGGAUGCAACCACCAAUAAUGAACUUAAUAGACAUUAACCUAUCAUUCAAUCGCCUAACCUCCACCAAGGACUCCCUAAGAUACCUAUCCACCAAUAUCCCCACUCAAUUCUUGCCCCUUAGGGCCCCAGAAUACCACAGCUUAAACCCGUCUGCCUUCCUCACCUUCGACCAUUUCCACCUAGUAUCCUGCACACAAGCUAUGUUGACCCUCCUCUUCUAAAGAAUCUUCGCCAAUUCUAUUGACUUACCCGUCAGGGUGCCAAUGUUCCACAACCCGAUCCUCAAUCUAUGAGUGGCCCCUAACUCCUUCCCUUCCCACCCUUGCUUCCCACCACACCCACAGGAUCGCCCCUUGCCCCCUGAUCACCCCCACCACCCCACCCCGAGGACAUGACCUCACACUACCAUCCCCUCUGCGGCCACUAUCCCUCCAACCACACACGAAGUAUGUCUGAAUACGGUUGGGAUUCUAGCUAGAUAACCACAGAGUAAAUCAAAUGCCGGAUGAUAACUAAAAUACAUAAAAAGUGCAUAGAGUGAGCAAGAGACCAGGAGGUACCAACUCGCGAAGAAAAAACCUUAAUGUAAGCGUUAAUGCGCUCGGGGUCAACUAUUGCUAAUUUUUGCACGUUUCGACCGGUGUUGCUUCGCUCUUCACUUCCUAGCGCCGCACGUUUGCCACACCUAGUACCUGAAAAUCACACACAAAAUACCCCACGCAAAUACACCGGGGGGGGGAGGGGGGUAGCCUGACUCGAGGGAGAGGAGAGGGGUGGGCUGCCUAAAGAAUUACAGGGAUGGGAGUGGGGUAAGGGGUGAAGAGGAGGUGGGAAAAGAAAGGAAAGUGAGGUGGGGGGCAGAGGUCCGAGGUGGGGGCGGGAGAAAGGGGAGAAGAGAAGAAGGAGAGAAGAGAAAAGCGAAAAAGAAAAAGAAAUAGAGAAAAGGAAAGUGGGUCGCCGGCAGAAGUUNNNNNNNNNNNNNNNNNNNNNNNNNNNNNNNNNNNNNNNNNNNNNNNNNNNNNNNNNNNNNNNNNNNNNNNNNNNNNNNNNNNNNNNNNNNNNNNNNNNNNNNNNNNNNNNNNNNNNNNNNNNNNNNNNNNNNNNNNNNNNNNNNNNNNNNNNNNNNNNNNNNNNNNNNNNNNNNNNNNNNNNNNNNNNNNNNNNNNNNNNNNNNNNNNNNNNNNNNNNNNNNNNNNNNNNNNNNNNNNNNNNNNNNNNNNNNNNNNNNNNNNNNNNNNNNNNNNNNNNNNNNNNNNNNNNNNNNNNNNNNNNNNNNNNNNNNNNNNNNNNNNNNNNNNNNNNNNNNNNNNNNNNNNNNNNNNNNNNNNNNNNNNNNNNNNNNNNNNNNNNNNNNNNNNNNNNNNNNNNNNNNNNNNNNNNNNNNNNNNNNNNNNNNNNNNNNNNNNNNNNNNNNNNNNNNNNNNNNNNNNNNNNNCUAGAGCUCAUAUAUAUAUAUAUAUAUAUAUAUGUUCACAGUAUACCAAUAUUUUCCAGCGAUUAAUAAAAUUAGCUCAUGGAAAUUGGGGUAUCGUCUAAUAACUUGGGCUAUUGGUACAACUAUGAAAUUCUUGGGUUUUGUUUUUUAAAAAAAAAAAGAAUGUAUUCAUUUUUGGCCUUCAGUGGUGAACUUUUACUCUUCAUUUUCUAGAUAUGUGUACUCUUUCGGUGACUUACAAUAAUUGGGUGCUUUAUUAGCUGCAUUGCAACCUUCCUUUUUUCUGCAUAUGAAUACUUGUUUAGUUCUUUGGAAUCCAUCAGCAGUUAAUAUUAUCCAUAGAAACCAAGCUUUUUGAAAGAGGGUGACGAGUGUACCAAAAAUUGAUAUGAAUUUUGUAGGUGAACAGUAGUAUAGAGAACAAACUUAUAAUCCAUGUUAUCCAACAGAAGGAGAAAGAUAGUAUCUUAGAUUAUUGUUGAUGAAUGUUAGAGGACCAAAAUCAUAUCUUGACUUAUGUAAAGUUGACGGUAAAUGUUAUAAUACAUUUAGACAGAAAAAAGAUGAUUGUUACACUGUGAUAACAUUUAAUAAUCCUUGUCAUAAUUACAUCUACAUCAAAUUUUGGGGUAAUAUAGAUGUAAUGAACUAGAAAUCAUUGUGAUGGAUUAUAAGUUUGUUCUAUAUACUACUGUUGUUGCUUUCCGACAAACAGAAUGUAAUUUUAACACUCUGUUUGUCUCAGUGUAUUGUUGUGCAAUGGUUCACGUAAAUUGUAUUUAAUCUGAAUACAAUUGGCUCAUCUUCAGGUUACUCCAAAGAAGAACUCAUAAAGAUAUUUGUGAAUUUGCUACUCUUCCAUUAGCCAAUUUGUGAUUCUUUUUAAAAGAAUUACUCAAUGAAGUCAAUGAAGCUAAUGUACAUUUUCGAGACCCACUUGUGAUCUUUUUUGACCUAUUUGUUGUGCUCCACAAACGCAAAUCUAAGUCUACAAUAAUGGUAUUACAAAUUAAUUAACUCAUAAGAGUUAGGGGGCGGUUUUCCUCAAGGAUCGGUAUUUAAAUAUAUAAUUAGAAAAAGUAAGAGCAAACUUGUUUUUACGGUAUCAUAAUUGUAAAAGAGUUUUUUCUGUUGCCAUCAACAACGUACCUUAGCUGAUAUUUCAAGAUAUCUAUGGCGGUCAUAUCAAGAAAUUUCUCUCCUAAUUCGCCUAUUAAUGUUGCAACAGUUGAUCCACUGCCAUCUGUCAUUAAAACCUUAAAGCGGCCCCGAAUAUGCAAUUAAUUUGCGUUAUUUGAUUUUCAUAAAGCCAAUGACUGAAGAAACUUUCUUCCUUUGAAAAUGUAGAACAAAUA
rnacentral:lncRNA from 1 species